AAUGAUAGAGUUCUCCGUUGGAGUUAGGUGGCCCAAAAAGAUUGUGCUGUUUGAAUAGCUGGUCCUCUAAUUUAGGAAGAGGCAACCGAAUUUGCACCGCUGGGUGGCUGGGCCCAUAGAAAAUAUUAUUGUCAGAAGAUUAUGAAAGUAUGUUCCUUAGUCCGCAUGCUUUGAGGCCUCUUUGAGUGGGCUUCUAGGGCUGGUUAGACAAUUGGGCCUUUCAAAGGAUUUCCUAGAGUUACAUUUUUUUUAGCCCAACAUGAAUUUUUAUAAAAUGCUAUAUUUAUACGCGAGUUUCAUAUUGAAGCUAAACAUACCCAUUUUGAUCGGAAAAAAAAAGGAAAGAAAAUGGGGCCUUUUUUCCACCCUUAAUCCUAUCACUAUUUUUAAUUUUAUUUUAUUAGUUAAUGGUAUGUAUUUCACAGAUUCUGAUUGGAGGAGGCACUGACACUACAUCUGGUACUUUAACAUGGGCAAUCUCACUUUUAUUGAACAAUCCACACAUAUUAAGAAAAGCUCAAGAAGAAUUGGAUGCACAUGUUGGUAAAGAAAGAAUAGUAAAUGAAAUGGAUAUAAGCAAGUUGGUCUACCUUCAAGCAAUUGUUAAAGAGACAUUGAGGUUAAAUCCAACAGCCCCACUUUCAGGACCGCGUCAAUUCAUCCAAGAUUCUAUUUUAGGCGGUUACUAUAUCUCAAAAGGCACUCGUCUUAUAUUGAACCUCACCAAGAUCCAAAGAGACCCGAGAGUAUGGUUGAACCCAAUGGAGUUCCAACCAGAUAGAUUCCUCACCACCCACAAAGAUGUUGAUGUUAGAGGUAAACAUUUUGAGUUGACACCAUUUGGUGGUGGAAGAAGAAUUUGCCCUGGAGCAAUUUUUGCCCUUCAAGUGCUACACUUAACAUUAGCCAACUUCCUACAUAGAUUUCAACUUUCAACUCCAUCAGAUGCACCGGUUGAUAUGAGCGAGAGUUUUGGAUUAACAAACAUCAAAUCCACUCCACUUGAAGUUCUUAUCUCCCCACGCUUGGCUUCUUAUGAUCUUUAUGAGUAGAACUUGAGGUCGCUAAGAGACUUAUUUCAAAAAACCUAGUGCUAUGAAAUGUGAAAUAAAAAUAAAUUUCAUACAUGUAGCAUAAGUUUAGUAUUAUUUUAAAGCAGUUACUAAUGUGUGUCCUUUAGUAUUGUCUUAGCUUGAAUUUAAUAAAAAAAUAUUUUCGACAACUAUUUUGUGUGGACAAGUAAUGACCCAAUUUCUUGUUAUGUUUCUUCAUUCUUCCAUGAAAGAGAAUUUAGAAGAAAAAGUGGCAUAUAGCAUUACAAUUGAAAAAUUAAUAAGCAUGUACUCCACCAUAUGCAUAUAUAUGCAUAGUAGACUUAAUGAAUUUCCAAGUUGAUUAAUUGGUAUCUCCUUUUGAUAGAUUUCAGCCACCUUUUUGUACAUGAUUAAAGUAGUAAUGGAGACUAAAAUUACAACUCCCAUUUCAUUGUAAAAAGUUGGGAUGUGCAAGGUGGGUCAGUUCAAUUUUGGGCAUUAAAAUCGAAUCGAAUCGAAUUGAACCCAAAAGAGGAAAAUGAUUAGUUUGACUUGAUUAACAAUAAUCUAAGUUGGUUUAUUUUGCUUCUAUUUAUAACAUCAAUUUUUUUUUUAAUUUGAACGAAAAUAAUAUUAUUGAAGCAAGUCAUCUUUGGACGGUUGAAAUGAUAUUAUUACAACUAAUUUCAAAUCAUAUUAUUAUAACUUAAUGACAUGAAUAGGUAUUAUUGUAACCCAUGUCAAUCAUAUCAAAUAGUCCAAGUCAUAGAUAAAAGUUAUAAAGGUGUGAUUGGGAGUUCCAUCCAAUGUGAAAAAUGUAUACCAAAUUAAUAAUGUAACCAAUUGUUAUACUGUAUAUUAUUAUUGUGUGUGUAUAGCUUUCAAUUCAAUUCAGUUUGGUUCAUUAAUUUUUUUUUAUAGGUAAUUGAAUUGGUAUAACUUAGGUUUAUAUUUUUAAAAAUAAAAUCUUUAAAAAUUAAUAGAUUUGGGUCAAUUCCAUUGAUUUUGUCAAUCGUACACCCUAAAAGAAGGGAUGUCCACUUAUCAUCCAUAACUUUGUGUACUCCUAAGUUAGAAUUUUGCCCCAUGUGAUUCACAUUUGUACUUAUUAUUCUCAAAUUUUCGUACAAAUGAUUUAUUGUUUUGUGGAAUUUUACUCCAUGAGAUUCACAUUUGUACUUAUUAUUAUCAACUUUGUCUGCUCUUAAGUUACAAUUUCUCCUAAUUAGAUUCACAUGCGUUAUUGCCAUAAUUGACUUUCCACAUUUAUGCAUGAAUUAUUAUGUCAAUAGAUGCAUUAUCAUUUUGUCAAGUUAAUUUGACUUAGGUUAAUCACCAAAGACAAGGUGAAUUAAUUGACUCAAUUUUAAUAAAUUUUAAUUUAAAUGAGUGCAAGUAAUAAUAAUAAAACAGUAAAAAAAUACAUAAUUAAAUAAAUAAAAAGAAGAGAUAACUGGUACAAACUCCAAUUUAUAUUUUGCUCAAUCCUAUACUCUCCUCAAGCCCUCAAAUGCAAAUUGAGGGUUCCACUAGCUUUUAAGACUUCAAUCAAACCUUAAUCCUUUACACCUGGAUUCUCAAUUUCAAUGAUCUUUUUACACUUUAAUUCAAGAAAUUCCUCACUCUUGAACAUACUCAAAGGUAACACUUGAACAACAUUGAUCUCACAAAGUUUUAUUUACAGAUAAUAUAAAUGAAAACUUAAAUGGUUUUUUUUGGUUAGGAUUUCUAAAUUAAUAAGGAUUUUUACAUUAAAAAGAAAGAGUUAAGAUCAACUGGGUUUUGUAAGAUUUUGAUAUAUAUCUUAGUUUGCGAGUUUUUUGGGAUUAUAUUGUAAUCUUAUUGUUUUAUCCUAAAAUUGUCAAAAAAAGAAAUUAGUAAUUUAGUAUGGAAAUUUUACUCCAAAGAUUAUUGAUUAAAAAUUAUUUUACUAAUACCAACGUGUAAGAGUUAAAGGCAUAAAAUUGAAAUUAAAGUAAGUUUAUUAUUUUGGAUUUUGUUAAGUAAUGACAAGAUUAAUAAUUGAAAUUAAUGUAAAAAGAAGUGUAAAAACUUUAAAACUUUAAAAUAUCAUUUCAUUAUUAGUUUCCACUUGCCAACAUAGACUUCUCAUUCUAUUCUAACAAGUUUUUUGUACUUUUAUAUAUAUAUAUUUCAUAAACUUAACAAAGGAUACAAACAGCAAAAGAAAAAAAAAAUUGAGCUACUAAACCUCAAUAUAAAUUUGGGGUGAAUUGUCAAGGUCUAUUAAGGAGCAUGGGGAAGUACUGUAUCACAGAUCAAUGUGAAGAUGUAUAUAUAUUUAUAGUAUAGAACCUAAGAGAACGUUUCUUUCUAAGUUAGGUAAACAUUUCUGUCAAAGUUGAUGAAAUUUUACUAUAAUUUAUAUACACAUGCUUUCAGUGUGCAUAUAAAUUAUACGUGGAGAUGAUUUUUAACUUAUAUCUUGCUUUUUAUAUGUGAUUUAAUAUUGUUUUGGAUUAUUGAUUAUGACUUAUGAAUUAUCAUGCAUGGAACUAAUCAAAAUGAUAUAAUUAAAUUAUAUUAAUGAAUUUGAGAUAGACAUGGCAAUUAUUAAUUUAAAAUAUCUUAUAUGAACAUAAAAUUUUAAAUAUAGACUCAUAAUUUAUAUUAAAAUAAUAAAAUUAAAAAAGUACGUUUAUCUCAGAUUUAUGCCUAGGGCCCAAAUUUUGCUGAGAGACGGCCGGAUGUCAUCACAUGCAAGAAAGCUAGGAAACAAAGCUAAAGUUUGCUUCUUGUGUGGGAAGAGGUACUUCCGUGCUUGACUGAAAGAAAGGAUUUUCUACAAGAAAAAUUGUCCCCUUGUUUGUAAAGCCUCAAGUUGCGACAGCAAUAACGACAAAAGUAGGCCAAAGAAUUUGUCAUUAUUAUGAGACUAGAGAGGUUUUACUGAGAAGUUUUCCGAGCGUGAUAUCAGCAUUCGCUGUAUCACAGUGAUACAACAAAUGGUUUGAACACAGUGAUCUAGAACCCAUUAGCUCAAAUUUCAUUGAUCUGAACACGAUGAUCCUCAUCCGCAGACCAUUUUAGGGAAUAAUUAAUUCUAGCGAUUUUUUAACUGCAUGUACGAAGAACUUCAUCAAAAUUCGAUUAAGUGUAUCUUAACCAAUCUUGAUCAGUAUGCGACUGAUGAUUCUAUUUGAUAAAAGUAAUGCGGUGGCCCAACUUUAUCUUAAUUUCUAUGUUGAAAGUAAUCAUUAUAUUAUUCUAUAAUUAUAAAUGUAGACUAUGGAAUCAAGAUAACUUUGAUAUGCUGAGAUCAAAAGAGGGCGGCCACUUUAGUAGUGGACUAUAUAUACUAAAUAAAGCUGAUCGAUUAUUACAUUGGAAAAUAACAUUGAACCUAUCAUGAAAGACAACCCUACUGGACCAUGCCCCGAGUACUAAAUGCUGAUAAAAAACAAGUACAUGUUCCAAAGGAAUUGAGUCCAUAUAUACACAUUAGUGCUCAAAGAGAAAAACUAUAUAUCCACCGCUUAACUACAGUGAUCCUUUGAGCAGAAGUUAGCCAUGUAUUUCCUUUUCCAAUACCUAAACAUCACCACGGUCGGAGUCUUUGCCACACUUUUCCUUUCCUACUGUCUAUUAUUAUGGAGGUCUAGAGCUGGUAACAAAAAAAUAGCACCUGAAGCUACUGCUGCAUUGUCACGACCCAAAUUCCGGGUGACCCAUAAUUUGGCCCGUGACCCCAGGUCAAAGGUUUGACCCUAAGGGUUACUCCUAUUCCACGUUGGCAGUCAACUAAAACACUCUGAAAUUUUUUUUUUUCUCACAUAUAAGUCUCACUAGGUUCUCACCAACUAACAAUAUUUCAACCCUUACUCAAACACAUUAAGAUUUAAUAAAUAUCAUUGCAUUCCAAAAUAAAAUUUCAUAAAAAUCCCCUUAAUCGAAUUAAGGUCUUAUUACAUUAUCCAUAAUUCACUUAUUACAAGAUCUCAAUACCACAAACAUAAUAAAAAAAUAAAACACAUUCCACUAAACCGCUCCAAGGGCAUCCUGAAGUCCUCCCUGUCCCACCUGUGGAUCCUCAGGAGUGAUAUCUGCAUCUAAAAAUAUAUAUAUAAAAAAAAAGGGUGAGCAUUUCCACAUUGCUCAGUAGGGUGCCUAACACCCAAAGGGUUAAUGGGGGAUUACUAUAUUUCAAUAACCCAAACACAACAGUUUACCAAUAUAAAUCAAGUCACACAAUUUAACAUAUAAUAUUAUACUCAAUCCCACAACAUCCAAUCAUUACAUAUUAAAUUACCACCUACAUCUAUAAGUUCUUCAUCUUUUUAUAAAGGAGCUAUAGAAAUGUUAAAAAGUCGAAAGAAGACAACAAAUAGUUCUCCAAACAACACAACUGAUUUAGAUAGAUAUCUUAAUAUUGAUUUAAUUUCAUUUGAAGAUGAUGAAGAUUUUGAUAUUUUAAUAUGGUGGAAAUCACAACAACACAAAUAUCUUGUGCUUUCUAUCAUUGCUCGUGAUGUACUAACAGUUCCUGUGAGUACAGUUGCAUCAGAAGUUGCUUUUAGUGCAGGUGGAAGAGUAGUUAGUGAUAAACGAUGCAGCUUAGCGCCGGAUUCUAUUGAAGCAAAUAUAUGUCUGAAAGACUGGGCAAUAGCAGAUAAAAGGAUAUUUGAUUCUAUUCAAGAAGAAAAUAUGCUUGUCGAUAUGGAAAAACUAAAAUCAUCAGAUCUUCAUGGAUUUGCGAUAGUUAGCCAUCACCGCUAAGAGAUAAUGAUUAAAAUAUUUUACUAAAUGUAUGUCAUAUUUUUAUUUUUAUUUUUGUGGUUGAAAAGUACAAAUGAUUGACAAAUAAGUAGGUGCCAACCUAGUUGAGAUGUAUUUAUUUUGUAGUGAUGUAAACUUUUUCCACAUUUUCAAAUGUAAUGUAUAUAUUCAAUGAAUAAAAUAGUUAGCAAUGAAUAUUUUUAUUAAUGUAGCAUUUUCUAUUUUUUGAAUAUAUUUUUAUAUAUAUAUAUAUAUAUUUUUAAGUGGCGGGCCUACGGGUGGGCCCACGGCCGGGCCGGGCUUAAAUUGGGGCCCAUCCAAAAAUGGGCUCGGGUCGGGCUUUAGCCUACUGGGCCGGGCCGCGAGCUUUUUGGAGACCCUUAAUUUUUAUAAAUUACAGAAAAGAAAGAAAGAAAAAAAAAAAGAGAAAUCUACAUAUAGCUGCAUUUGUGUUUGUCAUGGAAAAUGAAAAAUAUUGCUAGAGUUUAUAAUGUAAAACAAAAUGCAAAUGUGAAACGCAAAGCAUAUAAGCUAUUUUAGGGUAAAAUCCAUGAAUGACCAAAUGGCCCAAAAAAAAGAUCAAAUUGGAAAUACGAUCGGUCAACGGUUGAAUCGAUUGGUGCAAUCCAAUUUUCAAAACCAUGAAAAUUUUAAUAUAUGACUUAAGCAUGUAAGUUUGAUAUAACAACGAGUAAAAAAUAAAUUAUAGAAUCCCUUUAGAUGAAAAAAGAUUUUAAUAAUUAUAAAUUUUUAUGAGAUGGAUAUGAUUUAUUAAGAUAAUUUUAAAAAAUAAUAAAUAAAAUUUAAUAUUAAAUUUUAUUUAUAAGAAUAAAAUAUCUUAAGAUAAUUAUGAGGGUAGGUAGAGGAUGCUAUUUUUAUGAGAAGCAUAAUAUGAUGCGUUUUGCAUUAAAAAGUCAAAUUCAUCCACACAUGUCCAUGUCUAUGAAACACAUUACACCGAACAUUAUUUUCAAAUUCGGACAUUAUUUUCAAACCCAACCUACGUAAGGCAUGUUUUUUUUUUUUUUUUUCUUUUUAAUUAUUAAAUUAGUUGUAUUUUGGUUCAAAACUCACGUGGGAAGAAGACUAGAGGGGGAACAUUUUUGUUGCGAAGCUAUACGGAAUAAAAUUUAUUCAGAAGCCGGUCAAAACUCAAAUUUAUCUGCGGAACUUUUGUACUUAUCUUUUGACAAUUGGAAUGCUUCCCUACAAAUUAACUAAAUUAAUAGUCUCCUUGUUUUAUCAGAAGCGAAGGAAAAAGUAGGACUCAUGCAUCGUACAACACAAAUAGGCAGAUCUUUAGUCAUAGAUGGUGCAUGCCGUAAAGUAGCCGUCUUGAGCUUGGUAAGAAACCAAGCUAUUAAAACUUGACUUGAACUGUUCAUUCUCAAGGGGGUAAGUGCCAGCCAGGGUUCAAAUUUUAUGAUGCGGGCAUGCAAGACUUAUACCAAUCUGCCGUUCUAAUAAUAGAAUGUAGAAGACACCAAGCACCUCCUGCAUGCAUCUUGAGGCGGUGUAGACACGCAUCCCAAGGCGAAGUUGUUCUCUACGACCUAAGGAUCAAUUUAGUAAUUGUUUUAAAAAAUAGUUUUUUGAGGUCAAUUUUUGAAAAUUAUUUUUAAAAUUUUUAAAAUAAAAAUAUGUUAGAAAACCUAAAAUAUAACAUGUUUUUAAAUUUUUUAAAUAUAUUUUAAAAAUAAUUUUUAUAUAUUUUUAAUUCUUAUAUUUAUAUAAUUAUUUUUUAAAACAACGGUUAGAAAACAAGUAAAAACAAAUAAAUUUUUUUUAAAAAAAAACAUUCUAUUUUAUGUUAUUAAUAACUUUUAAUUAUCAAAAGUUUUAUUUUAUAUUUUUUGUUUUAAAGAACAAAAAGCCUGCUCAAAAAAACAGUUGCCAUAACUUUUUUCUGAUCUGUAGUGAUCCUAGGAAGGCUGUUUUCUAAAUAUAGUAAUAUAAUAAAAAAAUGUGGUCAUAGUAAGAAAAUACCGUUUGGACAUGUCCAUGGUAUUAUGCAUAUGCUUGAACAGGGAAGCUACCCACAGUUUAACCACAGUAAUCCAAUAGCAACAUCUAAGCUACCAUGGAUUUCCUUCUCCAAUGCCUAAACCCUGCCAUGGUUGGAGCAUUUGCAAUACUUGUCCUCUCCUACUACCUGUUAUUAUGGCGGUCUGGAGCUGGUAAGGGCAGAAUGGCACCUGAAGCUGCUGGUGCAUGGCCCAUAAUAGGUCACCUACACCUCCUAGGUGGGUCUAAGAAUUUGCCCCACUUACUUUUGGGAACCAUGGCCGACAAGUAUGGAGCAGUAUUCAGCGUUCGGCUGGGAUUGGAAAGAGCUGUGGUGGUGAGUAGUUGGCAGAUGGCCAAGGAAUGCUUCACCACCCAUGACCUGGCUCUGGCCUCCCGUCCUCAACUUGUAAUCUCCAAACAAUUGGGAUAUAACGAUGCCAUGUUUGCUUUCUCUCCUCACGGUGCAUACUGGCGGGAAGUGCGAAAGAUAGCCACUCUAGAGCUCCUCUCGAACCGCCGGCUAGAGUUGCUGAAGAACGUCCGAAUCUCAGAGGUGGAGACAUGCAUGAAGGAACUAUACAAGCUUUGGGCUGAGAAGAAAAACGAGGCAGGCGUUGUUUUGGUGGACAUGAAGCAAUGGUUUGGGGACUUGACUCUGAACGUGAUUCUUAUGAUGGUUGCUGGAAAACGAUAUUUCGGUUAUACAGCCGAAAGUCAAGAGAAAGAGACCCAGCGGUGCCAGAAAUCGAUUAGGGAAUUCUUUCGUUUGUUGGGUCUCUUUGUGGUGUCGGAUGCCCUUCCUUUUCUUGGCUGGCUUGACGUGGGUGGACAUCUGAAAGCCACGAAGAAGACUGCAAAAGAAAUGGAUGGUAUUGCUCAGGAAUGGUUAGAGGAACACCGACAGCGAAAAGAUUCGGGUGAAGCUAAUGGUAACCAGGACUUAAUGGACGUGAUGCUGUCCAUUCUGGCUGGCACGGACCCUACCGGCUAUGAUGCCGAUACAAUCAACAAAGCCACAUCCCUGGUAUGCACAUUAUUCCUCGAGCACCUUUAUAUGCUACUAAAAAAAAUGACAUUCUUCUCAAGACAUAAUUUCAUGCUUUAUCCUCUUUAGUCGGGACUCUCAGACUCUCGAGAGUACUCACACCUUCAAUGGAAUAACUUUCUGUUGCUGGUUGAAGCUAGUCAAAGUCAAUACUUUUUAAAAGAUAAUAUUAGAUUUAUAAAAGUUUUAUCAAUUAUGAAAGAAUUUUUUGCAUCAGCGCAAAUAGAAUUUUUUUACUUAAAAAUAAAACGUUUUUGAUUUCAUAUUGUGUUUUAUUAUACGUUGUUAUUUGUCAAAAGAGUAACAUGAGAAGCUUCGACAAGCAAUUAUAAUGAAAUACAACCCACCUGAGAAUCUGAGCGUAACUAGAAUUAUGACGAACCUCUGGCUUGGGUGUUUGGGCUGGGCUGGUAAUGAUCCAACUCUCCUCUGGGUGGCUGGCCCAUUCUUGUCAGAAGAUCAUGAAAGUGUGUUCAUUAUUCCUCAUGCUUUGAGGCCUCAUUGACUGGGCUUCUUGAUCUUGAGUUGGUUAGACAAUUACGCCUUUCAAAGACUCCUCGUCAUAAUAAAUACAGGGGCUUUCCCUCGUAAAUUUAAGGAUUUUUAUAUUUUAUAUUUUAUUUUAAUUUUGAAGGCCAACAUGAACUUUUAUAAAAUGCUAAAUUUAUGAGCGAGUUUCAAAUUCAAGCUACUUUUGAUCGACGGACACUAAACUCUAACUCUAGAAGCAGACUCCUAUUGGUUUCUAAGGGGCACUCACUCUUGAAAAUAAAUAAAUAAAUAAAUUGAAGCCUUUUCCUCCUUAAUCCUGUUAGUAGUUAUAAUUUUAUUAACAUUAGUUAAUGUUUUGUACUUGACAGAUUUUGAUUGCAGGAGGCAGUGACACUACAUCUGUUACUCUAACAUGGGCGAUCUCACUUUUAUUGAAUAAUCCAUGUAUGUUAAGAAAAGCCCAAGAAGAAUUGGACACUCAUGUUGGUAAAGGGAGAUUGGUAAAUGAAGUGGAUUUAAGCAAGUUGGUCUACCUCCAAGCAAUUGUUAAAGAGACAUUGAGGUUAUAUCCCGCAUUUCCACUUUCAGGACCACGCCAAUUUAACCAAGAUUCCAUUUUAGGUGGUUACCGUAUCCCAAAAGGCACUCGUCUUGUGUUGAACCUCACUAAGAUCCAAAGAGACCCAAGUAUAUGGUUGAACCCAACAGAGUUUCAACCAGAAAGAUUCCUCACUACUCACAAAGACAUUGAUAUGAGGGUCAAAAAUUUUGAGUUUACACCAUUUGGUGGUGGAAGAAGAAUUUGCCCUGGUGCAACUUUUGCCCUUCAAGUGCUACACUUAACAUUAGCCAAUUUCUUGCACAAAUUUCAACUUUCGACUCCAUCAGAUGCAACAGUUGAUAUGAGCGAGAGCCUUGGGAUAACAAACAUCAAAUCCACUCCACUUGAAGUUCUCAUCUCGCCACGUUUGUCUUCUUGUGAUCUUUAUGAGUAAAACCAAUGAAUGUUGAGAGAGACUAUUUCAAGAAACCUAGUAUUAUAUAUAGGAAAUAAAAAUACAAAUAAAAUUUGUACAUGUGGUACAAGUUUAAAAUAAUAACUAAUGAGUACUAUACUUUUUUAAUUUUAUCUUAGCUUGAAUUUUGGUGUUUUUUUUUUCUCCUUGUAGAAGAAAAAGUGGCAUAUAGCAUUUUUCUUUCGGUAUAGAUAGUGAAAAAUAAGUAUGCACUUGACCAUAUGCAUACGUGUGCAAUAGACUUAAUGAGUUGCAAGUUGAUAAUUGAUCUGUCUUUUGGUAGAUUUUAGUUGCCUUCUUGUACAUCAUUAAAGUAGAAGAUAAAGACGAAAAUUAUAACUUCACCCAUUCAAUUAAAAAUCAAUUUAAUUGAAUUUAAAGAAGAAAAUGGUUGGUUCGGUUUGACUAACAAUAAUUGAUUCGUCGGUUUAUUUUGUUUCAAUUUGUUUUGGUUUGUUGUAACAAUAAAAAUCAUUUUUUUUGGUUAAUUUGGACUAAAAAAAAAAAACCAUGAUUAGAUAAAAACUAUAAAUGUGCAUAUGAAGUUGUAUCGAAUGUGAAAGCUUUUCAUCAAAUUAAUAAUAUAACCAAUACUCAUAUUAUUGAUGUAAAUAUAGAACUUCUAGAUAAGUUCAAUUUGUUUUACUAUUGAUUUUUUAAAUAGGUAACCGAAUUGGUCUAAUUCAAUUUUAUAUUUUAAAACCCAAUAUUAUUAAAAGAAAAAUUGCUAAAAAUUAGUGGAUUAGGGUUAGUUCAUUGAUUCUGUCUACACCCCAAAAAGAAGAGUGUCCACUUCGUAUUGUCAACUUUGUGUGCUUAUAAGUUACAAUUUUGCACCAUGAGAUUCACAUUUGUACUUAUUAUUGCUAAUUUUGUGUGGUCAUAAGUUAUAAUUUUACCCCACUAGAUUCACAUUUGCUAGCAUCAUAAUUGACUUUCUACAUCCAUGCAUUCAUGAAUCAUUACAUUUCAAUACUGUAUUACCAUUUUGGUGCUAAACAAGAAGACUCGUCUUUAAAGUACUCAAGCAAACCCUCACCAAUUUUAAUCAUUUUUCAAUUUAGAUGAAUGGGAGCAACAACACUAGAACAAUGAAGUAGAUGAUGAAAUAAAAUAAAAAACAAAGAUAGUAUACAAACUCUAAUUUUAUUGGUUUGUCAUAGUCUUGACUUAUAUGCACUCUCCUCAAACUUUAAAAUUCUGCUAACUUCUAAUCCUUCAAGCCAAUCUUAAACUCUUACAUUUUGAUUCUUGAUUCCAAAAGACCUUCUUACACUUGCCUCAAUAGAUUCUUUACUUUUGAAUACACUAGUCACAAGUUGUUAACAAUUGAACAAAAUUAAUCUUUCUAAAUCUUAAUUAGUACAAGUUUAAACUUGAGAAAAUACAAGAGGAAAUUAGGAUGUUUUGUCUUAGAUAAGAUUUAUAAGUUAAUCAAGAAUUUUACAUUGAGAACAAAGAGUUAAGAUCAAUUCAGUUAAGUGAGAUUGUAGGAUCUAAUUAGUUUGAGAUCUUAAGCGGUCCUGUUAUAAUCUUAUUAUUUUAUUCCAAAAUUGCCUAAGAGGGAAGUAGUAAUUUAGGACAACAAUUCCCUCCCAAAGUUUAUUGGUUUGAAACUAAUACUUUAUUAUACCAGCAUGUUUGAGUUGAAAACACAAAAAUUGAAGCUAAGGCAAGUACUUUACAAUUCGGAUUGGGUUGCAUCGAGCUUUGGUGGUAACUACUUGGGAGAUGGCUAAAGAAUGCUUGACCGCCAAUGACCAGGUUUCAUCCUCGCGUCCCGAACUUUUAGCCGCAAAACAUUUGGGCUACAACUACGCCAUGUUUGGUUUCUCUCCAUACGGUUCUUACUGGCGUGAAGUGCGCAAGAUAAUCAGCCUAGAGUUACUCUCUAACCGCUGCCUAGAGCUGCUGAAGGACGUCUGUGCUUCAGAAGUGGUGACAUCCAUAAAAGAGCUAUACAAGCUCUAGGCAGAGAAAAAAAAUGAAUCGGGCCUUGUCUCGGUGGAAAUGAAGUAGUGGUUUGGAGAUUUGACUCUGAACGUAAUUCUUAGGAUGGUGGCAGGGAAGCGUUAUUUCAGUGCUUCAGAUGCAAGUGAAAAUAAACAGGCGCAGAGGUGCUGGAGAGUGUUCAGGGAAUUUUUUCAUUUGGUAGGGCUCUUUGCGGUGGCGGACGCUAUUCCUUUUCUUGGAUGGCUCAACUGGGGGAGACAUGAGAAUACCCUAAAGAAGACAACAAUAGAAAUGGACAAUAUUGCUCAAGAAUGGUUAGAGGAGCACCGUUGGAAAUCAUGAUAAUAGUACGCAAGACUUCAUGGAUGUGAUGCUGUUAGUUCUUGAUGGCAAAAAUCUUGGUGAGUACGAAAGCCACAUGCUUGUGUGGACCCGCAUUUUUCACGUGCACCUCCACUCAAUCGGCGAGACUCGUUUUUUUUUGGUGAAGAUGUUGUUUUUGGAAAAGUCGGAGUCGCCACUUAUUUUAUUUUAUUUUAAAGGGAAAAUAAAACAAGAAAUAAAACCCUAAAAAAUGACUCCAUAGUUUUUUGGAAAAGCAUGUCUUUGAAAAACCCGAGUCUAGGUCCGGGGAUCAGGUUACUUAUUGGGAAGGUACCUCCAGGAGAUAGCACCUCUCUAAGCCCUACAAAGGUCCCUACUGACUAUGUUGAAGGAAAUGUGGCAAUCAACUGAUUAAUUGAGGGUACCUAGGUAGGCUAAGGUGAUCUCAAAACUAGCAUGCUAAACAAGAAAAACCAAUCACGCCCAUAAAGGAAAGUUAGGAUGCGUACCUGGACCACUUCUUAAGCGCUAUCAUAAAACAUCAAUGGUUAGUUUAGAUAAUAUAUCACUCAGUAUGUGUUUUAUCAUGAAUGAUCAAACAAUGUAGCAAAUAUCAAGACAUCCCAAGCAUUCUCAAACAUAGGUAUAAAUCAUAAUGACGAUCAUAUUUACAAAAUUUGGAAGGUAGGUGACAGGAGACGUACCUGGAUAGCAUAGAUAACUUGUAACGUGCUUUCACAAGACAUGAGAGGUUAGAUAACAAACAAUAAAAUAAGAAGUCCUAGCAUGUUUGUUAUCUAAUUAGCAUAGAAAAAAAAAAUUAUCAUAGUAUAUGAAACCAUCAAUUAUCACUUAUAUCUUCUGUAUAAUUUCUAAAAAAUAAAUAGACAUGAUUUCCUUAAAUAGCAAAGGGGGCAACAAAGAUGAGUUUUGAAAAUUUUCCUUAUGUAGGGGCUUCACCAAUUCCCCGAUUGAUAUACACAAAUCUAGUUUAGAAUUAUCCCAUUUGUUUGGGACCACAAGCUUGGAUUCAUGUCUUACUCAAAACUGUAAUUUUAUUUGAAAUUUAAGAAAGAUGCAAACAGAUCAAAACAUGGUUGCACAUUAUUUGAGAAAAUGAGAUUUCGAUUCUAAGAACUCUAAAUGAAUUUUUGAAAUGGAUUCCUAAAGGGAAUGAGAUUUUGAUUCUAAGAACUUUAAAUGAAUUUUUGAAAUGGAUUUUUAAAGGGAUUUUUUUUAGAAUAGUGUUAUGUUUUAAAAAUAAAAGAAAUUAAUUUCAAAACAAUAAAACGUAUGAAUCAAAUACCAAGCAAAACAAAAGAGAACAAAAUCACAAAGUAGAAUUUUUGACAACCAAGAAAAUUGAAGUGGUGAGAAUGGAAGCCAAUCUUCACUAUUUUUCGAUGGUCUCCAAAAAGUAAAUUUUACUAGAGACUACCAAAGCAAUAAACUAUUCAAACUUGGAUCAAAUAAGCUAACGAAAUACCCACCAAGAAUUAAUGACGAAAAUUCAAGAAACACAUCUACUAAGAAUAACAAUCAAGAAUUAGCAUGAGAUCAAUUAAACACACAAACGCAUCUAGAUUAACUAAAAUGAACCAAAUUAAAUCAAAGCAAACAAUAAUUUUCAAACAUAGAAUUAACUUUAUUAAUGAACUAAUAUUAUAUAAAAUACCUAAAUCGAAUAGAUGUGCAAAACUAAAUCAAAGUAAACUAAAGGCAUGAAUUCUCAAAAAUAGAAUUGAUUUUAUUAAUGACCUAAAAUUAUACAAACUCCUAAAAUAAUUAAAAUGAAUCAAUUUAAACGAAAGGAAACUAAAACAAAAUAUGAAUUCAGGGAAUCUAAUUUCGAAAUAAACUUACAUUAUUAAAAUGAAAUCUAGGCUUAAAAACUAUUAAACACUAAUUAAAGCCAAUCUAAACUUAAAUUCUUAACACACAUGAUCAAUUAUUUUAACAAACUAACAUUUUACCUUAACCACAAAUUAAAUUAAAAAACUACUUGAGACUAAAUUUCUAACCUAUAAAAUUAAACUCAUAAUCAAAUGGAUAAGUUGAUGACACAGACAAAUAAAUAUGAAUAAAAUAAAAUAUGAAUGAAAUGAAAUACGAACACAAGGAAUUAAAUAAUUUUUUCUUUUUUUUAAUAAACUUAUGUUAGUAAAAUAAAUUUGAGCUUAACAAACAUUUUUAUCACUAAUUAAGGCAAGUUUAAAAUAUAAUACUUAACACAUAAAAAAUCAAUCAUUUCAACAAACUAUAAUUUUAACUAAACUUAAAGUCAAUUCAAACAACCUUCAAUAGAUUUUUUUAUUUUUAUUUUAAACUGAAUUUUUAACCCAUAGAUUCAAUCUCAUUGAUAAAUAAAUAAAUAAAUAAGUUACAAAGCAUUAGCUUAGUAGCAAAUAAAUAAAUAAACAACUAAUAAUUAAAUGAAUCACAACUAAACUAAAUAAAGAUCAAACUAUAUUAUUUUUUUUAUUUUUCAAAAGUAGAAUUACAUGAAUUUGUAUUUUUUGAAUUUAAUAUAAUAUACCAAACUAAACUUAAACACAAUUCUCAUUCUGCCAUAUUAAAACAAAAAAUGCAUGGAGUUAGUAAAUAAAGUCAAAUGACACAAUAUAAUAAUAAUUCCACUAAAAAACCAAUCAAACUAAUUAAAAUUCUAAAAAAUAUCAACUAAAACAAGAUCAAUCAAAAUUAGCGUGUAUAUAUAUAUAUAUAUAUAUAUAUAUAUAUAUAUAUAUAUAUAUAUAUAUAUAUAUAUCUUUAUUUUUAGUUAUUUAUUUAUUAAAACACGAAUACAUCAACACGAAACGAAAUAAACUAACCAACUUACAUUCUAAAACUAAAAGGAUAAAUCAUGAAUUAAAAUUAACAACCUUUGGAUAUGAAAAGAGUGGCAUGGAAUCAAUUGAAAUAAUAAACUAAAAUUUAAUAACAUCUAAACUAAAAGAUAAAUUAAAACUAAAUUAAAUGAAAUUAUGAACUUCCUAAUUGAGAAAAAAAAUAAUAAUAGUAAUAAAUCUAAUCAAAAUUCUAAAUUUUAAACCAUCAUCAUGAAUUGCCCAAACUCUUAAAAAAUCCUAACCUUUCCAUUAUCAACAAAAAUUGCCUAAACCAAUAUUUAAAAAAUCUAAUUUGUCAAACUAAGAAUAAUAAAUUGUAACUACAUUAAACAAAAAUCAUAAUCUUCAAGCUAGAAUAAUGAAUCAAUAAUAAUUAAUUUAUUUAGAUAAGAAAAAUUAAAAAAAUAAAUUAAAGAUUAACAUCUAAGCUAAACAUGAAUUUACAAUAAAAAUUUAAAAUACAAAGAUUGAAUGGGAAUAAUUUUAAAACUAAUAAAUUGUCAUCAGGAAAUAUAUUGAUAUUAGAAAUAAUUAAACUAUAUAGAUAAAACUCUAAAACGAUUAUGCAUUGAAUUGAAUAUUUCUUGAAUCAAAAUUGAAAUAGGAAGGAUAAAUUCACAUUUUCCGAAACGUGUAGGUCACUUUCCACUAGUAGGAUUUCUAUUUUUUAUUUUAUUUUAAAAGAAUCAUUGCCAAGGAUGCAUGGUGUGGUGGCUGCCCAUGCACUGUAGCUGAAGACUUCUUCUUGGUGGUCUUUGAAACCUAGGAGCAUGGCUGAAUGUUUCCUUUCUUCCAAUAGUGCAACUGCUCCGGAAGUCCUCUCAACGGUGCGGCUGAUUCAGAAAUCGUCAUCUCAAUGGUGCGGCUGUUUCGGAAAUCUUCCUCUCAAUGGUGCGGCUACACCCUCUCACAUUCCAGAAAAUAAUCUUACUCCUCCCACCUGGAUCCCCUUUAGUGCGGCUGUUGAUCUCCUUCCCGUUUGGUGUCACCCUCUCUUCUGAUGCAUGCUGAAAGCGUCCCAAGAAUGGUGCAGCUGGUCGUUCUUGCUUCUCCAAAGGCGUCAGACCCUCUUAUGCGUGCUGAAAGCGUCCUAAGUAUGGUGCGGCUGGUCGUUCACCCCUCUCCAAAAAAAACUCUCCCCCCUCUCACUUUCUAACCUUCCUCUCCAGUACUCUGCCAACAUGGGAAGACAACUCACCAGCCCGGAGAGCCUCAAUCAUCCACGUCAGUCUAGCAUCAUCAGGACUCUCCUUCCUGAACAUAGUCUUCAUUCCGUCCAAAUACCCAUUGAACAUUUCCUUUUUCCAUGCCAAAAGAACUUUGGUAAUUUUCUUUCUUCAUUCAUUUCCUUCCAUUAGAAGCACAAUCAACACAUGCAUGGGUGCAUACUUGCUUUCCUUCUUAGUUCAUUUUCUUCCAUACGUCCUGUCCUCUUCCAACCACCUUGAAUCCAUCCUUUAACCCGCUGAAUAUUUCCUUUCCAUAAUCACACAUGAAAAUUCCUCUUUUUAAUUUUUUUUUUUGACUGAAUAUCCUCUAUUUCCUGAAAGACUCACACAUGAAUAUCCUUGCCAAUACACGUUUUCAACCUUCCUUUUUCUCUCCAGUGAUGAUUCCUUUGGUGAGUUUCUCUACAAAAAUAUAAAGAAAAUUAGACUUAAUGAAUGAAUCCCAAGGUGUUUUAGAAAAUUAUAAAAUAAAUUAACAAAAUAAUUAAGUAAAUAAUGAUAAUAAUAAUAAUAAUAAUAAUAAUAAUAAUAGUAAAGUGUCAUGCAAUCUAUGCAACCAUGCAAUCAUGUGAGCAACUCAAGUCAUGCAAAGAAUGUCUAAUGGGCCUCGGGUGUAUCUAAUGGACCUAAAGGGUCUAAGUGGACCAAUGAUGGUGCCUAAUGGGCCUAAGUGGGCCUAGGGUGGUGCCUAAUGGACCUAAAGGGUCUAAGUGGGCUUAGGGUGGUGCCCAAGUGUAUCUAAGUGAACCUAAAGUGCUUAAGUGGAUCUAAGUGAACCUAAAGUGUUUAAGUGGAUCUAAGUGAACCUAAAGUGCCUAAAUGGGCCUAAGUCUAAAUUAGGGCUACUAAGAGUCACAAUAGGGUUAAAUGAAUCCCUCUACCAAAGUCUCCGAGGUGGCUCAAAAAAGGUAAGUAGUAUGAGUAGCUAUGGGCCACUAAGGAACUACUGUGGAGCACUGGAAGUGAACUUAAAGACAUGUGCUAAAGGAACAAAAUUGAGGGUCUACAACCUGGUAUGAGUAUUAAUGGAACACCCACGUAACAUUGAUAAAGACAAAUUGCAAGGAUAAGGCAAUGAUCGAACAAAUAACCUAUGAUUAAACAAGAUCAUUCAAAAUCAAUUUUGUAUAUUUUUGUAACCGUUAUUUGAUGUGUUGACUUGAACAAUUCUGUAACUGUUGUAUAGUUGUAGGCAAAUUGAUGUACAUUGCCGCAAAUAGUUUUUCUUAGCUAUGCAUAUAAGUAAACUCUUAUUACAUCAAUAAAAGUGUGAAAAUUUUCAUUGAAAACAACAAUGUUAUUUCUUCUAUACUAUUUAUAUUUGCAUAGGGCUAGCUUCUUUUCCAUAGUUUUUCUUUUGUUUAUAUGUUUUAAUUGAUGCAUAUUCACUUUCUUAUUCUCUUAAUUAAAUUGCAAUAAUUAAAACUCUAAUUUAAAUAAAUUUUAAAAUUUAUUUUUAACUAAAAACAACAAUAUACAUAUACAAAUAUAUACUGCUUAAGUAAUUAAUUUUUUUAAAAAAUAUCCUUUGAGAACAUCUCAGACAAACUAAGACAUGCUUCUAGGGAAAUCUAAAUAUAAUGUUUUUAAAAGCUACCUUGUAAUUUUAUUUUCGAGCAUGUUGCAUUAUAUAUACUUUCCUUGAAUUGAUUUUCCAAAUUUUAUUUUUGUCAACAAUAAGGGUUAUCUACGUUUUGGAAGAUAUCUUUAAUUUCCCCUCCAAAGAAUAAGUGAUCUUGAAACUUAUAAGUUAAUUAUGUUCACUUGAUCGAAUAAGAGAUUUGAACAAUCUUGUAAAAAGAUGUUAAGCAGAUGGUUGAUUUCGAAAUUAUCCUUUAAACUAUAAAGGGAAAUAGAAAAAAAUACUAUUAUUUUGGUACAAGACCAUAUUGUUUAGUAGUGUCUCUAGGGAGUUCCAUUAGAUGCUAUCAAACAAUUAAUUUGGUGUCUCACUAACGUAAUUUUGAGUUGUUGAAUUUUGGGUUUUGCAAACUCUAAUUGCUGGAGGUAGUGACACAACUGUUGUCUCUCUAACCUGGGUAUUCUCUCUUUUACUCAACAACCGCGACACCUAAAAAAAAGCUAAAAAAAAAAAAUAUUCAAGUUGGCAAGGAAAGAUUAGUGAAUGAACAAGAUAUAAGUAAGUUGGUCUAUCUUCAAGCCAUUCUUAAAGAAAUUGAGAAAAUAAAGGCUAAUCUUAAAAGAUAAAAACACCCAAGAGGGGGGUGAAUUGAGUUUUUAAAAAUUAUUUUUAAACACAACAAAUUUAAGCAUAAGAGAAUCAAAUAUAAAAAGAUAAGGUUAGAGAAAUCAAACUCAGAUUUUAUAAUGGUUCAACACUUCCUUACCUACAUCCACUCUCCUCAAGCUCUUAACCGAGUGAGGGUUCCACUAACAUGAAGUUUCAACCAAACUUCUAAUUACAUUUACACUUAGAUUCCGGCUCCAAUGGGCUCUUACACAAUCUCUUCAAGUUUCAACUCACUUAAAGACUUUAACACUAAGUUAACAAGUAUGAAUCUCUCAACUUAGCUCAACAAUGACUCAAAUACAACCCAAAGCUAGGAUGAAUCACAAAGGUGCACUAAAGGAUAUGUAAAUGGAGAUUUAAUGCACCAAGAAAAGAAAUGAGAGCUUUUAAGGCAAGAACAAAUAGGUAAGCAAAUAAAUGCAUGUGUUCUCUUACUCAUAAAUGAAGUGGAACUCUUUAUUUAUAGGUUUUUAACAUUAUAAGCCAAAAAACCAAAAAAACAGUCUCAAUCGGUUGAGCUGAGGGUCAAUCGGUUCACUAGCCAUUGCAGCAUUUAAUGCUUGUCAGGUGACAGUUACCCUCGACCGGGAAGACAAAUCCCUCGACUGGGAAGGAAAGGCUACUGAAAAAGAGAGAGUCUUUUUUGCACCUCUCGGUCGGACCUCAACAGGAAAGGGGGAGCCGGUCGACCGGUACCCUAGUCAAUUGAGCCUGUUUGGACAUAGCCUUGAUCGGUUCACAAUUUUUUACCCGAAAACCUAUCUUUUUCUAGUAUUUUUGCUUCAAACACAUAGGUAAGGUCUUCAGAUAAAAUAUAUGCCAAUUUUGAAACGUUUAGCUUAAGGUUCAUUUGAUAGAUCUCGGAUUUUGGUGAAAAUGUAACUUUAAAGCAUAAAUCGAGUUUUUCAAAGAUGCAUGAAAUAAUAUGUAAAUCCUAAGUGUAUCAAUGCAUUCAUCUUACAUAUGUUUCCUAUCAUUAAAGGUCUUUCCAAAAGUCUUGAUCUUGCAUCCAUUAGGUCAUUUGAUGAAUUUCCAAAUUAACACCUGAAAUUUUUUAUAAUUUAAACCAAUUAGUAACUUAACUAUGAUUUGUUAUCAUCAAAACAUGAUUAGGAGAACCCUUGGGCUAACAGAGACAUUACGGUUAUAUCCACCAAGACCACUUGGAGGACUAUGCCAAUUUAUUGAGGAUUGCACCUUGGGUGGAUACCAUGUCUUUAAAGACACUUGUUUAAUAAUGAACCUUUCGAAGAUCCAAAAUAUCCAAGAAUCUAGUUAGAUUCGAUAGAAUUCUAACCAGAGAGGUUUCUCAUCAACCAUAAGAAUGUUGAUCCUUAGGGAAAACAUUUUGAAUUUAUACCAUUUGGAGCUGGUCAAAGAGCAUGUCUAGGAAUAGCUUUUGGUCUUCAAAUAUUAUAUUUAGCAUUAGCUAGUUUCUUACAUGCAUUUGACUUUUCAACUCCAUCAAAUGAACAUGUUGAUAUGCGAGAGAGCUUUGGACUUACAAAUAUGAAAUCUAUCCCACUCGAAGUUUUCAUUUCUCAAAUCUACCCCACUUGAAAUCCUCAUUUCUCUACACUUAUCUUCUUGUAGUCUUUACAACUAAAACAUUGAAAUGAAGAGGUCAAAGUUGACCCAGCUAGUCUUGGUUUAAAGACAUAUAGAGUUAGGUUCAAUCAAUCUAUGAUAAGAUUUGAGAUUUGUAUUAAAAGUAGGUUGGACUAAGAAUGAUGUACAAUAAACUAAAGUACUAUCCAUGCAAAUAAAGUAUAACAUUAUAUAUUAUUUGGUUAGCAUUCUGAAAUGUAACAUCAUAAUUAUUUCUUUGUUUUGUCUAAUUUAUCGCCAUUUCACCCCCUCAUCUUCAUCAAAACAAAUAAUAUAUAGUCUUUCUAUUUUUAAAAAUCAAAUUCGAUUCCCAAUUAUAUAAGAAUUUUACUAUUACUUUAUAAUAAACUUUACUUUAGUCUUAAUAACUUUGACUUGUAAAUAUGUUCUCCAUCCUUAAUUAAAUAUACAGAUAAUUUCAUUCAUUUUUUCUAAGAUUGGAGUUAAAUUUACCCAUCCAUACUUAACUUGAAAUUUUCUUAAAUAUCUGUUUUUUUUUCAUUUUUUUUACACGUAUAUCUUUUAAUUUAAAAUAAAAAAUAUUUAAUAAAAUUUCAAAAUAAUAGUUGUCAGACAUAUUUAUGUGACAUUUUCGAAGAGGUGAAUGAAACUAAACUUUUCUUUAAAUAUAAAAUCAUAAAAAUUUAAUAUAUGCAAGCAUGAUCCGGUCUAAAUAUGAUAUAUAAUUUGUGUCAUUUCAAAAAAUCACAGAAGAUCCUUUUGGCAAAGUGGCCCCCCAUUUGAGUUGUAUUCCGUAAUUGGUCACCACAUGUUAUAUCAUUUCAAAGAUUAUGGAGGAUCAUGUUGCCAAUCAUUAUCAGAAGAAGUACAGCUUCCUCUAUAAAACUAAUCAAUACGAUAUUUAGCACAUGCAAACAAAUUUGGAAGGAUCUGAAAGUCAAGUCUACGGGCCACCCCUUUACGACUUGUUCGAAAAAGCACAAAUCAAUGGUGGUGCCACUUGCCAGCAGUCUGUUUCAAUAUCUAAAUGUUACCUCGGUAAGAUUGCUUGACAUACUUUUUGUCUCCUACUAUCUCAUGGAGAUCCAGAGUUGGUAAGAUAAGAAUAGCAUCCGAAGCUGCUGGUGCAUGGCCAAUAAUCGGUCACCUCCUCUUAGGUGGGUCACAACUUCCUGGGAUUUUUUAUAAAAUUACGGUAGAUUUAAAAUUAAUUUUUUUAAAAUGCAGCAUAUUAAUGCUUGACAGCUGACAGUUACCCUCGAUCGGAAAGACAAAUCCCUCGACUGGGAAGGAAAGGCUACUGAAAAAGAGAGAGUGUUUUUUGCACCUCUCGGUCGGACAUCAACAGGGAAGGGGGAACCGGUCGAUCGGUACCCUAGUCAGUUGAGCCUGUUUGGACAGAACCUUGACCGGUUCACAAUUUUUUACCCGAAAACCUUUUUUUUUUUUGGUCUUUUUGCUUCAAACACUUAGACAAUGUCUUCAGAUAAAAUUAUAUACCAAUUUUGAAACGUUUUGCCUAAGGUUCAUUUCAUAGAUCUCGGAUUUUGAUGAAAAUGUAACUUUAAAGCAUAAAUCGAGUUUUUCAAAGAUGCAUGAAAUAAUAUGUAAAUCCUAAGUGCAUCAAUGCAUUUAUCUUACAUAUGUUUCCUAUCAUUAAAGGUCUUUCCAAAAGUCUUGAUCUUGCAUCCAUUAGGUCAUUUGAUGAAUUUCCAAAUUAACACCUGAAAUUUUUUAUAAUUUAAACCAAUUAGUAACUUAACUAUGGUUUGUUAUCAUCAAAACAUGAUUAGGAGAACCCUUGGGCUAACAGAGACAUUACGGUUAUAUCCACCAGGACCACUUGGAGGACUAUGCCAAUUUAUUGAGGAUUGCACCUUGGGUGGAUACCAUGUCUCUAAAGGCACCCGUUUAAUAAUGAACCUUUCGAAGAUCCAAAAGGAUCCAAGAAUCUAGUUAGAUUCGAUAGAAUUCCAACCAGAGAGGUUUCUCAUCAACCAUAAGAAUGUUGAUCCUUAGGGAAAACAUUUUGAAUUUAUACCAUUUGGAGCUGGUCAAAGAGCAUGUCCAGGAAUAGCUUUUGCUCUUCAAAUAUUAUAUUUAACAUUAGCUAGUUUCUUACAUGCAUUUGACUUUUCAACUCCAUCAAAUGAACAGGUUGAUAUGCGAGAGAGCCUUGAACUUAUAAAUAUGAAAUCUAUCCCACUUGAAGUUUUCAUUUCUCAAAUCUACCCCACUUGAAAUCCUCAUUUCUCUACACUUAUCUUCUUGUAGUCUUUACAACUAAAGCAUUGAAAUGAAGAGGUCAAAGUUGACCUAGCUAAUCUUGGUUUAAAGACAUAUGGAGUUAGGUUCAAUCAAUCUAUAAUAAGAUUUGGGAUUUGUAUUAAAAGUAGGUUGGACUAAGAAUGAUGUACAAUAAACUAAAGUACUAUCCAUGCAAAUAAAGUAUAACAUUAUAUAUUAUUUGGUUAGCCUUUUGGAAUGUAACAUCAUAAUUAUUUCUUUGUUUUGUCUAAUUUAUCGCCAUUUUUUCCCUUUCUCUUAUUCCCUCAUCUUCAUCAAAACAAAUAAUAUGUAGUUUUUCUAUUUUUAAAAAUCAAAUUCGAUUCCCAAUUAUAUAAGAAUUUUACUAUUACUUUAUAAUAAACUUUACUUUAGUCUUAAUAACUUUGACCUGUAAAUAUGUUCUCCAUCCUUAAUUAAAUAUACGGAUAAUUUCAUUCAUUUUUUCUAAGAUUGAAGUUAAAUUUACCCAUCCAUACUUAACUUGAAAUUUUCUUAAAUAUCUAUUUUUUUUCCUUUUUUUUACACAUAUAUCUUUUAAUUUAAAAUAAAAAAUAUUUAAUAAAAUUUCAAAAUAAUAGUUGUCAGAUAUAUUUAUGUGAAAUUUUCGAUGAGGUGGAUGAAACUAAACUUUUCUUUAAAUAUAAAAUCAUAAAAAUUUAAUAUAUGCAAGCAUGAUCCGGUCUAAAUAUGAUAUAUAAUUUGUGUCAUUUCAAAAAAUCAUAGAAGAUCCUUUUGGCAAAGUGGCCCCACCUUUGAGUUGUAUUCUGUAAUUGGUCACCACAUAUUAUAUAAUUUCAACGAUUAUGGAGGAUCAUGUUGCCAAUCAUUAUCAGAAGAAGUGCAGCUUCCUCUAUAAAACUAAUCAUAUUUAGCACACGCAAACAAAUUUGGAAGGAUCUGAAAGUCAAGUCUACGGGCCACCCCUUUACGGCUUGUUCGAAAAAGCACAAAUCGAUGGUGGUGCCACUUGCCAGCAGUCUGUUUCAAUAUCUAAAUGUUACCUCGGUGAGACUGCUUGACAUACUUUUUGUCUCCUACUAUCUCAUGGAGAUCCAGAGCUGGUAAGAUAAGAAUAGCAUCCGAAGCUGCUGGUGCAUGGCCAAUAACCGGUCACCUCCUCUUAGGUGGGUCACAACUUCCUGGGAUUUUUUAUAAAAUUACGGUAGAUUUAAAUUUAAUUUUUUUAAAAUGCAGCAUAUUAAAAAAUAUCUUUGAAUAAUAAUAAUAAAAUGACAAAUAAUAAAAAGGAAAGAAAGUUGUCUUGUGGCUAUAAGAAAGAAUAAUAUAAAAGAGAGAGAAGAGGAGAGGCGGAUAGAGAGAAGAGUAGCAGGAAAAAAAAAAAAGAGAACAGGGAGGUGCAUGCUGCAAAUCUUUGGGUGUUCGUAUGACGAGCAAAACGAGUUAUGUUUUGCGUGAAAAUUAAGGUGAAAAUUUUCUUUGACAUGAGGAACAUUCUUUCAAAGUUUGAUUUUAAUUUCAAUGAUUGGAUUUUUUGAUUUGUGGUGAGGUAGUUUAAUCCUAUAACUUUUGUUUAAUAUUUUUUCUUAAAAAAAUAUUAUGGAUUUUAUUACUGGGAGAUAAAUAUGUGUUAUUUGUGUUUUCUUUAUGUUAUUUGAAAUAUGAUUAUUGUUAGGGUGGAUUAUUAUGAUUUUUUUUUUUUUUUAUGUUUGCAAUGAUUUAAUUGAAGAAAAAUUAUUGUGUUGAUUGUUGGAAAUUAUUCAAUAUAUUAAGAAUAAAUAAAAUUUAUAUGAUUAUGGUUUAGACUAUGUUUUGAUGAUAUAUAAAUUAUUGUGAUUUUUUUUGUGGUUAUUUAAUUGAAGAAAAAUUGUUGUGAUGUAAUUGGAAUUAUUGAUUAUGUUUGGAGUAAAUAAAAAUUAUGUCCUAUAAAAUUAUGGAUGAUAACAUGUAAGUUUAUUAUAUUUCAUAUAUGGUUAUAUGAAAAAAAAUGAUGAAAGAUUUUAUGAAAUGGAAAAAGGAAAAAAAAAGAAAAAAAAAAUGAUGAUGAAAAGUAAAAGCCCGUAAAAGACGAAUUAAGAAAGAAAUGAGAUUUCUAGUAUGAAAACUACAAAAAUUUAUCUUAUGAAAACUCUAAAUGGGGAGUGUAUUUGGUACAGAUGCAUAUCAUUAAGUGAAAACCCAAAAACAAUAGUUUGUUACUUUACUGAAUGUAAACAUUUGCAUCAUGUUUUUAUUUGGAAGAAUGACAUGUAUUAAUUACUUGAAUGACGUCAAUGGUAUGUUUGGAUAUAUUAUUAGAGAUUGAAAUGAUUUAUUUAUUUUGUAAAUUUAGAAUUGUUUGAUAUGUUAUUUAUAUAAUUGAAUAAGAAAUGUGAUAAUUUUGAUUAGUUUAAUUUUAUAUGGUUGAUUUUUUAUUUAAUGACUAUAAUGCAUUGUUUUGAAAAUUGGAUCGGACCAACCGGUUCAAUCGCCAACUGGUGAUCUUUCCGGUUCCAUCCUCUCCUUUAAACCGCUAGAUGGUUGAACCGACCACAAACCACUAUUGGCAGUUGGACCGAUGAACCGCUUGGACCAGGUGGUUUUUCAUGAACUGCAUGGCUCAAUUCCAGCCCAGUCUUCCCCCCAUUUUUUCUUUCAUCCAAAUAGUCCAACCUUCCCCUCCUCUUUUUCAUAGGGUCCAAGUGAAAGCCCAAUAAGCCCAGCCUUACAUCUUAAUGGUCUUUAGGCAAAACCUAAACCCAUUUAAACCCCUCAAUGGGUUGUACCUUUGAACCCAUUAGUUACACAAAUAGCUUGAAUGAACUGUGUUUUACGCGCAUAUUCACAUCCACAUCCAUGUGGGAUUGCUGCUAUUUUAAGUCUAAAGAAAAAGCAACGCCACUUAGCUACAACACAAUUUGAUGCAAGUCUAGAAAAUAAAAAAAUCAGCAUGUGUUUCAAAAAAGAUUAAUAAUAUUAAAUAAAAUAAUAUAAUAUUUUCUGAAAUUAUAAAAUUAGUUAAAGUUAAAUAAUUAAAUUUUUACAUAUUCCAUUUAAUAAAGUUCAAAAUAUUAAUAUAUUUAUAUUUAUAUUUUGAUAAUAUCAAAGAUAAAAAAUAAAUAUUUUUAAUUUUUUAAUUUAUAUAAUAUUAUAUUUUGACAUAUAAUUGUUUUCUAUUGACUUAAAUUUUUUAAUUCAUUUGGGUGUAAAACACCUUACAAAACAAUGUGAAAAUGUUCACCCCUUUAUUUUUAUAAAAUUUUUAGAUACAAAUAUAGUUUAUAAGGAACCAUAAGAAAAUCAAGAAGUGUUCCAAAAAGCCUUAACAAAUAAAAGAAAAAUAAUAAUAAUAAUUUUUAAUUUAUAUUACCUUUUUGACAUGUACUAAUUUGAGUUAUAUGAAUUUUUGUAACUUAAAUUAUAUUUUGUUAUUUUGUAAAAUAUUUUUGGAAAUAUUUUUUACUUAGAUUUAUGUAGAUAUUUGGGUUAAUUUGGGAUUAAAUAUUGAUCUAUUCACUGUCAAAUUGGAUAGGAAUAAACUUUAAGGUCAACCCUUUGACCUGAUAUCACUAGUCGGAUUCUGAGUUGCCUUGGGUGUGACUAUAAUGGAUUUUCUUCUCCAAUGCCUAAACCCUGUCAUGGUUGGAGCGUUUGCAAUACUCGUCCUCUCAUACCACCUGUUAUUAUGGAGGUCUGGAGCUGGUAAGAGCAGAAUGGCACCUGAAGCUUCUGGUGCAUGGCCCAUAAUAGGCCACCUGCACCUGUUAGGUGGAUCUAAGAAUUUGCCUCACUUACUUUUUGGAACCAUGGCCGACAAGUAUGGACCAGUAUUCAGCAUCCGGCUGGGAUUAAAAAGAGCUGUGGUUGUGAGUAGUUGGGAAAUGGCCAAAGAAUGCUUCACCACCCAUGACCUGGCUCUGGCCUCCCGUCCUGAGCUUGUGGCCGCCAAAUAUUUGGGAUAUAACUAUGCCAUGUUUGGUUUAUCUCCUCACGGUGCAUACUGGCGUGAAGUGCGUAAGAUAGCCACUCUAGAGCUACUCUCGAACCGCCGGCUAGAGUUGCUGAAGAAUGUCCGAAUCUCAGAGGUGGAGACAUGCAUGAAGGAACUAUACGAGCUUUGGGCAAAGAAGAAAAGCGAAGCAGGCGUUGUUUUGGUGGACAUGAAGCAAUGGUUUGGGCACUUGUCUCUGAACGUGAUUCUUAAGAUGGUUGUUGGAAAACGAUAUUUCGGUUAUGCAGCCGAAAGUAAAGAGAAAGAGGCCCAGCAGUUCCAGAAGGCGAUUAGGGAAUUCUUUCGUUUGAUGGGACUCUUUGUGGUGUCGGAUGCCAUUCCUUUUCUUGGAUGGCUUGACGUGGGUGGACAUGUGAAAGCCAUGAAGAAGACUGCAAAAGAAUUGGACGGUAUUACUCAGGAAUGGUUAGAGGAACACCGACGGCGAAAAGAUUCGGGUGAAGCUGAUGGUGACCAGGACUUCAUGGACGUGAUGCUGUCCAUUCUGGGUGGUAGAGACACUACUGAUUAUGAUGCUGAUACCAUCAACAAAGCUACAUCCCUGGUAUGCACAUUAUUCCUUUAGCAUCUUUAUAUGGUAGUAAAAAAUGAGACAUAAUUUCAUGCUUUAUCAUCUUUAGUCCAGACUCAAGAGUACUUGGGCCUGGGUUGGAAGAACUUCUUAUUUUUGCUUAGUUUCAAGUUGAAACUAAUCAAAAGCAGCGAUUUUUAAAAGGUAAUUAUAAUAGUGGUGUUAUUAAAGGUCAAACAUAAAUAACUUUUUGCAUAAAUCAAAAUAGAGUUUAUAUAUAUAUAUAUAUAUAAAAUAUUUUUCUGAUCUUCAUAUUAAUUUUUCUAAGUCAUAACUUUUUUGAACAAAAUUAGUCAAACCAUAGAACUCUUGAACUUACAGAAAAGGGCUUUCGAUUUCUUAGAAAUAGAUACAUGAAGAGUUUUGUUAUAUGUUUGUUUUUGUCAAAAGAGUAACAUGAGCAGCUUAGACAAGCAAUUAGAAUGAAAUACAACUGGGCUGAGAAGCUGAGUAGAACUAGAAUUAUGUACAACCUCUUGCUAGGAUAAUUGGGUUGGACUUGUAAUGAUAGAGUUCUCCGUUGGAGUUAGGUGGCCCAAAAAGAUUGUGCUGUUUGAAUAGCUGGUCCUCUAAUUUAGGAAGAGGCAGCCGAAUUUGCAACGCUGGGUGGCUGGGCCCAUAGAAAAUAUUCUUGUCAGAAGAUUGUGAAAGUAUGUUCCUUAGUCCGCAAGGUUUGAGGCCUCUUUGAGUGGGCUUCUAGAGUCGGUUAGACAAUUGGGCCUUUCAAAGGAUUUCCUAAAUUUACAAUUUUUUUAGCCCAACAUGAAUUUUUAUAAAAUGCUAUAUUUAUACGUGAGUUUCAUAUUCAAGCUAAACAUACCCAUUUUGAUUGGAAAAAAAGGGAAAGAACAUGGGGCCUUUUUUCCACCCUUAAUCUUAUCACUACUUUUAAUUUUAUUUUAUUAGUUAAUGGUUUGUAUUUCACAGGUUAUGAUUGGAGGAGGCGCUGACACUACAUCUGGUACUUUAACAUGGGCAGUCUCACUUUUAUUGAACAAUCCACACAUAUUAAGAAAAGCUCAAGAAGAAUUGGAUGCUCAUGUUGGUAAAGAAAGACUAGUAAAUGAAAUGGAUAUAAGCAAGUUGGUUUACCUUCAAGCAAUUGUUAAAGAGACAUUGAGGUUAAAUCCAAUAGCCCCACUUUCAGGACCGCGUCAAUUCAUCCAAGAUUCUAUUUUAGGUGGUUACCAUAUCUCAAAAGGCACUCGUCUUAUAUUGAACCUUACCAAGAUUCAAAGAGACCCGAGAGUAUGGUUGAACCCAAUGGAGUUCCAACCAGAUAGAUUCCUCACCACCCACAAAGAUGUUGAUGUUAGAGGUAAACAUUUUGAGUUGACACCAUUUGGUGGUGGAAGAAGAAUUUGCCCUGGAAUAGUUUUUGCCCUUCAAGUGCUACACUUAACAUUAGCCAACUUCCUGCAUAGAUUUCAACUUUCAACUCCAUCAGAUGCACCGGUUGAUAUGAGCGAGGGUUUUGGAUUAACAAACAUCAAAUCCACUCCACUUGAAGUUCUUAUCUCCCCACGCUUAGCUUCUUAUGAUCUUUAUGAGUAGAAUUUGAGGUCGCUAAGAGACUUAUUUCAAAAAACCUAGUACUAUGAAAUGUGAAAUAAAAAUAAAUUUCAUAGCAUAAGUUUAGUAUUAUUUUAAAAUAGUUACUAAUGUCUGUCCUUUAAUAUUGUCUUAGCUUGAAUUUAAUGAAAAAUAUUUUCGACACUUAUUUUGUGUGGACAAGUAAUGACCCAAUUUCUUGUUAUGUUUCUUCAUUCUUCCAUGAAAGAGAAUUUAGAAGAAAAAGUGGCAUAUAGCAUUACAAUUGAAAAAUUAAUAAGCAUGUACUCCAUAUGCAUAGUAGACUUAAUGAGUUUCCAAGUUGAUUAAUUGGUAUCUCCUUUUGAUAGAUUUCAGCCACCUUUUUGUACAUGAUUAAAGUAGUAAUGGAGACUAAAAUUACAACUCCCAUUUCAUUGUAAAAAGUUGGGAUGUGCAAGGUGGGUCAGUUCAAUUUUGGGCAUUAAAAUCAAAUCGAAUUGAACCCAAAAGAGGAAAAUGAUUAGUUUGACUUGAUUAACAAUAAUCUAAGUUGGUUUAUUUUGCUUCUAUUUAUAACAUCAAUUUUUUUUUUUAAUUUGAACGAAAAUAAUAUUAUUGAAGCAAGUCAUCUUUGGACGGUUGAAAUGAUAUUAUUACAACUAAUUUCAAAUCAUAUUAUUAUAACUUAAUGAUGUGAAUAGGUAUUAUUGUAACCCAUGUCAAUCAUAUCAAAUAGUCCAAGUCAUAGAUAAAAGUUAUAAAGGUGUGAUUGGGAGUUCCAUCCAAUGUGAAAAAUGUAUACCCAAUUAAUGAUGUAACCAAUUGUUAUACUGUAUAUUAUUACUGUGUGUAUAACUUUCAAUUCAAUUCAGUUUGGUUCAUUAAUUUUUUUAAUAGGUAAUUGAAUUGGUAUAACUUGGUUUUAUAUUUAAAAAACCAAAUUUAUUAAAAAAUAAAAUCUUAAAAAAUUAAUAGAUUUGGGUCAAUUUCAUUGAUUUUGCCAAUUGUACACCCUAAAAGAAGGGAUGUCCACUUAUCAUCCAUAAACUUUGUGUACUCCUAAGUUACAAUUUUGCCCCAUGUGAUUCACAUUUGUACUUAUUAUACUCAAUUUUCCGUACAAAUGAUUUAUUAUUUUGCAGAAUUUUACUCCAUGAGAUUCACAUUUGUACUUAUUAUUACCAACUUUGUCUGCUCUUAAGUUACAAUUUCUCCUAAUUAGAUUCACAUGCGUUACUGCCAUAAUUGACUUUCCACAUUUAUGCAUGAAUUAUUAUGUCAAUAGAUGCAUUAUCAUUUUGUCAAGUUAAUCUGACUUAGGUUAAUCACCAAAGGCAAGGUGAAUUAAUUGACUCAAUUUUAAUAAAUUUUAAUUUAACUAAGUGCAAGUAAUAAUAAUAAAACAGUUAAAAAAUACAUAAUUAAAUAACUAAAAAGAAGAGAUAACAGGUACAAACUCCGAUUUAUAUUUUGCUCAAUCCCAUACUCUCCUCAAGCUCUCAAAUGCAAAUUGAGGGUUCCACUAGCUUUUAAGACUUCAAUCAAAUCUUAAUCCUUUACACUUGGAUUCUCAAUUUCAAUGAUCUUUUUACACUUUAAUUCAAGAAAUUCCUCACUCUUGAACAUACUCAAAGGUAACACUUGAACAACAUUGAUCUCACAAAAUUUUAUUUACAAAUAAUAUAAAUGAAAACUUAAAUGGUUUUUCUUGGCUAGGAUUUCUAAGUUAAUAAGGAUUUUUGCAUUAAAAAGAAAUAGUUAAAAUCAAUUGGGUUUUGUAAGAUUUUGAUAUAUAUCUUAGUUUGCGAGUUUUUUGGGAUUCUAUUAUAAUCUUAUUGUUUUAUCCUAAAAUUGUCAAAAAAAGAAAUCAGUAAUUUAGUAUGGCAAUUUUACUCCAAAGAUUAUUGAUUAAAAAUUAUUUUACUAAUACCAACGUGUAAGAGUUAAAGGCAUAAAAUUGAAAUUAAAGUAAGUUUAUUAUUUUGGAUUUGGUUAAGUAAUGACAAGAUUAAUAAUUGAAAUUAAUGUAAAAAGAAGUGUAAAAACUUUAAAAGUUUAAAAUAUCAUUUCAUUAUUAAUUAGUUUCCACUUGCCAACAUAGACUUCUCAUUCUAUUCAAACAAGUUUUUUGUACUUUUAUAUAUAUAUAUAUAUAUAUUUCAUAAACUUAACAAAGGAUACAAACAACAAAAGAAAAAAAAAAUUGAGCUACUAAACCUCAAUAUAAAUUUGGGGUGAAUUAUCAAGGUCUAUUAAGGAGCAUGGGGAAGUGUUGUAUCACAUAUCGAUGUGAAGAAGGUGUAUAUAUAUUUAUAGUAUAGGACCUAAGAUGUGAACGUUUCUUUUAAAGUUAGGUAAACAUUUCUUUCAAAAUUAAUGGAAUCUCACUAUGAUUUAUAUACACAUGCUUUCAGUGUCCAUAGAGGUUGAAAUAAUACGAUGAUUUUUAACUUAUAUCUUGCUUUUUAUAUGUGAUUUAAUAUUGUUUUGGAUUAUUGAUUAUGACUCAUGAAUUAUCAUGCAUGGAACUAAUCAAAAUGAUAUAAUUAAAUUAUAUUAAUGAAUUUGAGAUAGACAUGACAAUUAUUAAUUUAAAAUAUCUUAUAUGAACAUAAAAUUUUAAAUAUAGACUCAUAAUUUAUAUAUAUUAAUAUAAUAAAGUUGAAAAACUACGUUUAUCUCAAAUUUAUGCCUAGGGCCCAAAUUUUGCUGAGAGCCAGCCGGAUGUCAUCACAUGCAAGAAAGCUAGGAAACAAAGCUAAAGUUUGCUUCUUGUGUGGGAAGAGGUACUUCCGUGCUUGACUGAAAGAAAGGAUUUUCUACAAGAAAAAUUGUCCCCUUGUUUGUAAAGCCUCAAGUUGCGACAGCAAUAACGACAAAAGUAGGCCAAAGAAUUUGUCAUUAUUAUGAGACUAGAGAGGUUUUACUGAGAAGUUUUCCGAGCGUGAUAUCAGCAUUCGCUGUAUCACAGUGAUACAACAAAUGGUUUGAACACAGUGAUCUAGAACCCAUUAGCUCAAAUUUCAUUGAUCUGAACACGAUGAUCCUCAUCCGCAGACCAUUUUAGGGAAUGAUUAAUUCGAGCGAUUUUUUAACUGCCUGUACGAAGAACUUUAUCAAAAUUGGAUUCAGUGUAUCUUAACCAAUCUUGAUCAGUAUGCGACUGAUGAUUCUAUUUGAUAAAAGUAAUGCGGUGGCCCAACUUUAUCUUAAUUUCUAUGUUGAAAGUAACCAUAUAUUAUUCUAUAAUUAUAAAUAUAUACUGUGGAAUCAAGAUAACUUUGAUAUGCUAAGGAUCAAAAGAGGGCAGCCACUUUAGUAGUGGAUUAUACUAAAUAAAGCUGAUCGAUUAUUACAUUGGAAAAUAACAUUGAACCUAUCAUGAAAGACAACCCUACUGGACCAUGCCCCGAGUACUAAAUGCUGAUAAAAAACAAGUACAUGUUCCAAAGGAAUUGAGUCCAUAUAUACACAUUAGUGCUCAAAGAGAAAAACUAUAUAUCCACCGCUUAACUACAGUGAUCCUUUGAGCAGAAGAAGCUAGCCAUGUAUUUCCUUCUCCAAUACCUAAACAUCACCACGGUCGGAGUCUUUGCCACACUUUUCCUUUCCUACUGUCUAUUAUUAUGGAGGUCUAGAGCUGGUAACAAAAAAAUAGCACCUGAAGCUGCUGCUGCAUGGCCCAUAAUCGGUCACCUACACCUGUUAGCUGGUGGUUCUCAUCAGCUUCCCCACAUAACCUUGGGAAACAUGGCCGACAAAUAUGGACCGGUCUUCACAAUUCGGAUUGGGUUGCAUCGAGCUUUGGUGGUAAGUUCUUGGGAGAUGGCUAAAGAAUGCUCGACCGCCAAUGACCAGGUUUCAUCCUCGCGUCCCGAACUUUUAGCCUCAAAACAUUUGGGCUACAACUACGCCAUGUUUGGUUUCUCUCCAUACGGUUCUUACUGGCGUGAAAUGCGCAAGAUAAUCAGCCUAGAGCUACUCUCUAACAGCCGCUUAGAGCUGCUGAAGGACGUCCGAGCUUCAGAAGUGGUGACAUCCAUAAAAGAGCUAUACAAGCUCUGGGCAGAGAAAAAAAAUGAAUCGGGCCUUGUCUCUGUGGAGAUGAAGCAGUGGUUUGGAGACUUGACUCUGAACGUAAUUCUUAGGAUGGUGGCAGGGAAGCGUUAUUUCAGUGCUUCAGAUGCAAGUGAAAAUAAACAGGCGCAGAGGUGCCGGAGAGUGUUCAGGGAAUUCUUUCAUUUGUCAGGGCUCUUUGCGGUGGCGGACGCUAUUCCAUUUCUUGGAUGGCUCGACUGGGGGAGACAUGAGAAAACCCUAAAGAAGACAGCAAUAGAAAUGGACAGUAUUGCUCAAGAAUGGUUAGAGGAGCACCGUCGGAGGAAAGACUCCGGUGAUGAUAAUAGUACGCAAGACUUCAUGGAUGUGAUGCAGUCAGUUCUUGAUGGCAAAAACCUUGGUGGUUACGACGCUGAUACCAUCAAUAAAGCCACAUGCAUGCCUGGUAUGAGUUAUUAAUGAAGCACCCACGUACCAUUUAUAUUUGCAUAUUAUCAGGGCUAGCUUCUUUUCCACAGACAGUUUUUCUUUUGUUUAUAUGUUUUAAUUGAUGCAUAUUCACUUUCUUCUUCUCUUAAUUAAAUUGCAAUAAUUAAACAUACAAUUUAAAUAAAUUUUAAAUUUUAUUUUUAACUAAAAACAAAAGUAUACAUAUACAAAUAUAUAUUGCUUAAGCAAUUAAUUUUUAAAAAUUAUUCUUUCAGAACACCUUAGACAAGUUGAGACAUGCUUCGAGGGAAAUCUAAAUAUAAUGAUUUUAAAAGCUACUUUGUAAUUUUAUUUUCGAGCAUGUUGCAUAAUAUAUGCUUUCCUUGAAUUGAUUUUCUAAAUUUUAUUUUUGUCAGCAAGAAAGGGUUAUCUACGUUUUGGAAGUUAUCUUUAAUUUCCCCUGCAAAGAAUAAGUGUGUGGACCCUGCAUUUCGGCUCAAUGCGUUUCCCACUCGAUGGCGAGCUCGAUUUUUAUUUGAAAAAUGAUUUUUAUUGAUUAUUUAGAAAAUGACUUGGAGUCGCCACUUAUUUUUGUUUUAUUUUUAAAGGGUAAACAAAAUAAGAAAGAAAAACCCUAAGUGUGACUCCUUAUUUUGGAAAAGGUGGUCUGUGAAAAACUGAAUCGGGUUCAGGGGUCAGGUUACUUAUUGGGAAGGUACGGUAUGGACCGUAGCACCCCUCUAAGUCCCUAAAGUCGGGUCUCUACUAAUGAGAUGAAGCUGACAUGGCAAUCAAUGAGAAAAUCAAUGAAUACUCGAAUCAAUCAUGCACAUAUGAGAGACAAAGCAUGUAUAAAGAAUGAGCAAAAUAUGAAUAGAUGCGUACCUGGGCGACAAUCACGAAUGCGCUAUCAUGAAACAUGGUUAGUGAACAAUAAACAUAUAUAAUUAAGCGCAUAUCAAGGAAUAGAGUAAAUCAAUCAUGCAUGACAAAUAAAUCAAUCAAUCAUGGAAUCUCAUAUGUAGGGCCCCCACCAAAACCCAAUUCAUUUUUGCAUGAAUCAAUUCCAUAAAUUCCAUCACUUGGAAUUACGGAAUUUAAUUCUUACUUAUUUUUAAAACAUUUUAAAAACCAAGAAAAUGCACAAGUGGCUUGCCGGAAGGAAAAUGGCAACCAAAUUUUAUUGAAAAUGGGAUUUAAGAAGAUUAUUUUCAAGAAAACAGGGGAUGAGAGAAUAGAAGGAAAUGGCACAUGGUCAAGAGCUGCAUGCCUAAGGUGGCCAUGCAAAAACACUUCCCUCUAAGCUCAGGGUGGAGGGACUGCACUAUAAGGAUCAGUGGUGCUGCAGAGCUUGUCAGAACAGCUGAUGGCAUCAUAGGUGUUGCUCCUGAUUGCCUGAAAGAAUUCAUCUCUAAUGGACGGAAUCGAUUGCUCUACAUGAUUAUUCCAGAAGGUAAUGGUUGAGUCCUUAGCUUCACGAACCCAAUUUUUUAUGUCAUUACUUCCCAUCAAACUACCAUGACAUAGGAGCCACACUGAGCAAACUGAUGAGCCCGCUGCCCCACAUGUAUAGGGAAUCCAGUACAAAGUUAAUUUCCGCGGUUUACGAUGUUCGGAAACAAGGAUACUUAGGUAAGAAUCCAGCUUAUACAUGAUAAAUCACGNNNNNNNNNNNNNNNNNNNNNNNNNNNNNNNNNNNNNNNNNNNNNNNNNNNNNNNNNNNNNNNNNNNNNNNNNNNNNNNNNNNNNNNNNNNNNNNNNNNNGUGGAUGCCGCCUAUGAUACUAGCCUCAGAAAUCAUGCCAUUGACAUCGUUGUGCUUGUUACUAUUGCCAUCUCUAUCUCACAUGUGAGAGCCCUUGAUGGAAUCAAUUAAAAUAAUCCUUGAUAGAAACGUGGACUUCAUGUCUCAAAUCUGGCCUUUCAUAUCUCCUCAUUUGUCCAUGUCAACUAUUGUCACCAAGCCAUAAGCCUCUUGAUCCCAUGAUAACCCCAUUAUUCAACCCAAUACUUCAAUGAUGAUUCUCUUUCAUUUGCAUUCCUGACCUUCUCUUAUCUCCAUUACUGAUCCCAUGGAUGUUUACAGGAUUGAGUAUUUGGACGAGAGCAAACUUUGAUUAGAACCCUGUAUCAUGUUGAGUCUCUGCCAGCCUGGAAGGAUAAAAAUCACGUUGCCCCAUAUGGUGAGUUUUACUUUGAUUUACUCUUCCUCCUUGAUUCGUAUAAUGCAAGAAGGACAGGAGUUAAAAUGUCACGGAUAGCAUGAUGGCAAUGCCCAAAAGUAGCGUCAGUGUACAUUUGAGUCAAACGCGACUCCAUAUCAAACAUUGGCGGCCAGCGUCCAAGUCAAAGGGACGUAGUGCCCAUAAUUCACUGUUGAUAUUCUUCUUUCUGGGGAUGGAACAGAUCCAACUUCAAGGAUUGGGUGAGUCUCCUAAGAACUUUUCAUAAGGAUGGAUGACUGCCCAACAAUGCACUCAGGUUCCAUCAUUGCAAAGCCUCAACAGACUGCAUGCACCAUUCGUCGCGUACCUCACGACAAAUGUGAGUCUGGUUAAUCCCGUAGGAGGACUCCAAGCAGCAUGCAUAACGUACCUCUUCGGAAUAUCACAACGAGACCCACUGGUGCCCUCGUCUGAAUACCCCUCCGCCUCUCAUUCAAGUAAUGGGUGUUGGACCCAUGUAUGCAUGCAAAGAUGGAGGAGUGAAGUGGUGAGAGAAAGGAUGUAUGGAUUUAGCUGCGAGUAAGGUCACGGGUAUGGGAGGAUGGAUGCGGUGAAGACCUUUGAGGGUGAUGAAAAAUGGUGCAUGGAGUAAGAUAGGCUAAAGUGGAAAUGCGUGGUAGAAUGGGCAUAGGAGUAUCAUGAGAGAAGUGUGCAGGGACUACAUGCAUGUGGGUGGCUAGGGAAGUAAAAGAUGGGUUCAACAGUGAAACGUAUGGGAAUGAUGAGAGGGAAAGCGGAUUAGCAGAUGGGGUUAAUGAGUGAUAUGAAGAAUGGGGUAUGAGACCUGGGUAUAAGGUGAAAUGAAUAUGACAUGGUUAUGCAUGGCCAUGCCAUGGCCAUGCAAGAACAUGAUGGAAAGGGAGUGACGGAUGUAUGAAUAAUGGAGAGCAUGAGGAGGUAUGGGAUAGAUGAACAGGGCUGGAUGGUGGAUGAUGAAUAAGUAAUGGUGAAAUGGGUAUGAAAGAGUUUGAAGAGAGAGAAAAGGUGGUAAUGUGGAAUGGGUUUGAUAGGUGGGAGUACAAAGUGGGUAUGAAGAUGGGUAUGAAUGGUUUAGUAGGUACGAGACAAAUGGGUUAGAUGGAGGGUAUAAUGGGUGAUGUAAUGAUGGAAACCCGGGCGUUUAUUCAUCUUUGGAGGCACGAUACCCGGGUCAUGAACAGAUGGAUCACACUUCUUGGCCAGCUGCAUUCAGGCCAUAGUCAAUACAACCGACUUCGCUACCUCCAUUUCCAGGCACAGUGAUUGACACAAAGGAAGGUAACUUCCCAAUAAUCAAGCUUCUUUCGAUACAAGGUCUGCAUGGCUUAGCCGAGUUCAGUUUAGUUGGGUGUCGAAUCCCAUUGGUCAGUAGACCCAUUUGGAGCGAAACUGAACCCUUUAAUCCAAAUGGACCGUUACAGAGAGCACAAAGCAGCAGUAGGAUUAGCAAGACCCAGAGCAUAAGAGCGGGCUGUGACCAUGGCAGAGAUUCCAAAUUAGAAAGCAAGCACAAAACCAUCCAUGGAAGAGGUUAUCCAAGGUUUUGGAUGCUUAUGAAGUUUUCCCGCAAGUUGAACGAAUCUGUAACAGAGUGCCUUCUGAUCUAACCUGCAUAGUUUCAACAUGUACCACACCAUCCCCAUUCACGGUACCUCCAAUCACUAUGUCACCCUUCUUUCUUCGCCAUAGGCCUAGCAUCCUCUGUGAGCAUGUUCUUGAACCCACAAUCUCCCGCUUUACCUCAUGGAAACAUGUCAACCAAAAUAGCCCACCCAUCAAGUGACUGAUUCAACUCUGAUACCCGACAUCUCAGAUGCACCAACAACAGAAGCACAAAAGGGUAGGAAAUGGGGCCAAAACAGAAAAGAACGAAGGAAGGAUAAACGAGGAAUAAAGUAAAACAUAAGUGUAUAGAGCCUCAUUUCAGGUGACAUCCAUGGGCUUAUACAAGUGAGGAGAUCUCAAGUUAGAGUUACAGAAUAUAUGAGGAACCGAGUUCUAUUAACUCCAAGCCAAACCACAAGAACAGCAGUAAAAUCAACAACAAUAGAGUAUAAAAACGAUCCAGAAAUCAACAAAAUUCAGUACGUAUGACCCAACUCAAAUUGAUGAGCAAUGCAGAGCAAACCAAAAUGAGAAAAGGGUGAGAAAAAUAUGAAUCAAAGUAAGCAAGAAACUCACCUCAAACUCACCUGCAGACGCUCCUCUCUCUAUUCCUUCAUUCUCUAAGCUUCAGCUAGCCAAAAACAACGCCCAGAAUCUCCGUCACACAGCCACCCAAAACCUCCUCCUCUGCAGCCUCGAACCUCUCUGCCAACAAACAGCAACCAAAAGCACCUCCCCCUCUCGGAAACUUCUUUCUCCCUAAAAAAAAACUCUCAGACCAGCCUCUCUAAAGCUCCCCCUCUCUCAAGUUCACCGUCCAAAAUUACUCCUCUCAUGGAAAAACUCCCUGGAAUCCCCUCAGCAGCCCCGGUACCUCCAGCUAAAAGAAAAUCACCCCCCCCGGUUCUCAUGUCUCUCUCACCUUUUUUUCUCUCUAGCCAAAACCAGCUUUCUUUUCCUCCCUUUGGAAAUAUCUCCCUAACGGCCAGACGACACCCACCUGCCUUGCAGCUGCAAGCCUCCACUCCCCCCUAUGCAGCUGGCAGCCUCCCAAAAUCAACCCAACAAAAGCUCUUCCCCUAAAGAUUUCUGCCACCUUCCUCUUCUAGGCAAUAUCUCUUUUCUGUCCCGGAUUUGCCCCUCCAACAAUCCCUGUAGCCACCUCCAGCACCACUACACUCUGCAUGCAACUGGCAACACCUCCUAACGGAAAGCACGCUCCCUUCUUCUAGAAUGUUCUUCACUUUCCAGGUGUCUUCCUCUUAUUAGUCCAUCAAUUCCACCAUAGUGAUUCCACUAGUAGCCAACCCGAGAGUGACACGUGGCCAUGCGAGAUGGUGACACUUGUCCAGCAUCAGCUGCAAGAAUGACUCCCAAAAUGGGGGUCUACAACUAUGCCCAUUUUCGGUAGAGUUCACAAGUGUAAGGAAAAUGAACACUGGAAUGAAAGGUAGGUGUGAAUAGUGAGUGGAAUGAAGUGAACUCUACCGAAGAACCAAGGAGACCCCCAUAGGGACACUAGCAAAACACGAAUUCGCUCAGGCUGACAGACUGACACAAAGGCUCUGAUCCUAAAACAAAAUGAUGUCUCAAAAUGCCUCUGAGGCCAUACUAAGGAUCCAAGCUCCCUUUAACAUGCCUCCAAAAGUGACCCGAAGAUCGAUGUCAAAAGUGAGUAACGGUCGAACCACCCUGGAGUACGAACAAGAAUGCGUCUAAAGGAGACUGCCCUAUGUGGACUAUGAGAUGAAUAGGUGAUAAGCACAGGGUAACGAGGUGAGAAGAGUGAGAAUAAGUGCAAAUCCAUGAAGGUGAGAUGCGCAAUGCCAGUGAAUAUGAACGCUAGGGGCUGCGACUCUGAAUGACGAGACUGACCCUAAACGCUAAACUGAGAAAAACAAUGGCUCUGGAAGCCAGACCAAAAACUAACUCUAAAAACUAAACUAGAAUAACAGCUCUGGAAGUCAACCAAAAACUAACUCUAAAAGCUAAACUAGAAAACAACAGCUCUGGAAGCCAACCAAAAACUAACUCUAAAAACUAAACUAGAAAAUAACAGCUCUGGAAGCCAACCAAAAACUAACCCUAAAAGCUAAACUAGAAAACAAACAGCUCUGGAAGCCAACCAAAAACUAACUCUAAACUAGAAAAUAAUAGCUCUGGAAGCCAAACUGAAAACUAACUCUAAAAGCUAAACUAGAAAACAACAGCUCUGGAAGCCAAACCAAAAACUAACUCUAAAAACUAAACUAGAAAAUAACAGCUCUGGAAGCCAACCAAAAACUAACCCUAAAAGCUAAACUAGAAAGUAACAAACAGCUCUGGAAGCCAACCAAAAAACUAACUCUAAAAACUAAACUAGAAAAUAACAGCUCUGGAAGCCUAAACAAGUCGACAGUAACGACUCUGGAAGCCUAAACAAGAUGAUAGUAAUGGCUUUGGAAGCCUAAACAAGAUGACGGUAACGACUCUGGAAGCCUAAACAAGAUGAUAGUAAUGGCUCUGGAAGCCUAAAUAAGAUGACGGUAAUGGCUCGGAAGCCUAAACAAGAUGACAGUAACGACUCUGGAAGCCUAAACAAGAUGAUAGUAAUGGCUCUGGAAGCAUAAACAAGAUGACAGUAAUGACUCUGGAAGCAUAAACAAGAUGACAGUAAUGGCUCUGGAAGCAUAAACAAGAUGACAGUAACGACUCUGGAAGCCUAAACAAGAUGAUAGUAAUGGCUCUAGAAGCCUAAACAAGAUGAUAGUAAUGACUCUAGAAGCCUAAACAAGAUGAUAGUAACGACUCUGGACGUCGAAACUAAAAAGUGAUGAUGAUGACUCUGAACGUCAAACUGAGAAGUGAUAACGACUCUGAACGCCAAAACCGAGGAUGCGACUCUGAAUGUCGAUCUGAAAACCGAUGAUGGCUCUGAACGCCUAAACUGAGAAAUGAUGAUGAUGACUCUGAACGUCAAACUGAGAAGUGAUAACGACUCUGAACGCCGAAACCGAGGAUGCGACUCUGAAUGUCGAUCUGAAAACCGAUGAUGGCUCUGAACGCCGAAACUGAGAAGUGAUGAUGAUGACUCUGAACGUCAAACUGAGAAGUGAUAACGACUCUGAACGCCGAAACUGAGGACGCGACUCUGAAUGUCGAUCUGAAAACCGAUGAUGGCUCUGCACGCCGUAACUGAGAAGUGAUGAUGAUGACUCUGAACGUCAAACUGAGAAGCAAUGAUGAUGACUCUGAACGUCAAACUGAGAAAGUGAUAACGACUCUGAACGCCGAAACCGAGGAUGCGACUCUGAAUGUCGAUCUGAAAACCGAUGAUGGCUCUGCACGCCGUAACUAAGAAGUGAUGAUGAUGACUCUGAACGUCAAACUGAGAAGCAAUGAUGAUGACUCUGAACGUCAAACUGAGAAAGUGAUAACGACUCUGAACGCCGAAAUCGAGGAUGCGACUCUGAAUGUCGAUCUGAAAACCGAUGAUAGCUCUGAAUGCCGAAACUGAGAAGUGAUGAUGAUGACUCUGAACGUCAAACUGAGAAGUGGCUCUGAACGCCGAACUGAAAAAUGUGACAUGAUGACUCUGAAUGUCGUAAACCGUGAAUGAACGGCGACUCUGAACGCCAGACUGCAAGGAAACAAUGUGGGGGAAAUAUGCCCCAGUGUGACAUGCCGCUGCAAAUCUCAAACUGCUAGAAAUGGCUAAAAGGGACUCUACGAGUCUCGAAAGACGCACCACUAAGAGCUCAUGUCAAUGAAGAGCUCAGGAACAACGGUCAGUGAGGCGAAUACAAUAUAUCUCGGCCGAGUGAUGGAAACCGCGACGGACAUGUGAGAGAACGAUCGCCUCCAUGGCUAAAUGAGGGAAAUACGCCCCAGUAUGGCAUCAGAUGUACCCGAUCUGCCCUGAUGACCCGAGAAUAACACCAUGGGGAUGCAUAAAAGACCUGAUGUGUACCGCACUGAAAUGAUGACAUGGGGAUCCAAGCACUCGACAUAACCCCAUCCAGGAAUCACGACUAUAUCAAAGAGUAUGAAUCUGGCUGAACGAGUCAAGAGAGGCUCCUCGGAGUAUCAGGACAAAAUGAAAUCAAUCAUCAACCUGGCGUGUAUCUCAUAACUGUGGAUGAUCAUGUAAACCAGUGGGGAUCUAUAAAUCUCGAUCAAGAUGGGGAAUAUGCCCCAGUGUGGCAUCGGAAAUGUAACAUGUCGAAAAAUCAGCUGAGCUCAAAUCAUCUAUGCCUGCAACUAGCUAGAUGGCUCUCGAUAGGCUCCACUAAGGAAUCAUCGCGAGGAUAGCGAAUAUAUCAUCAUCCCUGUAUACAUCUCGCAAAUAAGGAUAAGCACGCAACUUCCUCAUGAUCUGUAAAUCUCAUCCGAACGGAAAUAUGCCCCUGUAUGGCAUCGAAAUGUAGGAUAGGUCGGAGAUCAGAUAGCAUGGAAUCAUCUAUCUUAGAACAUGUGACCUCUGCGAAAAUCCAUAAAGAUCCUCCGAAACGGAAUAUGCCCCAGUAUGGCAUCUGACGUGCGACAAACCAGGAAAAACAGGUGACAUCGAAUCAUCCCUCAUCAAACACGUGAUCCUGGUAAUCCAAACACGGUCGAAACGGAUCUAAACAUCUGAGAAGUGUUUCUCAGAAGAAGAUGCAUGGCAAAUAUCUGGAUGUCAACUGAAUCUCAAACACCUGUCCACAUAGAAGCCGUAGAAGACGAUAUCUGAUCCCAUGGCCUCAGGGUGGUCUUAAGACACAGGACGUAAUGUAGGCUAGGGUGAUAGGGUGAUAGAAACGAAGGGAAACUAAGCUCAAAUACCCAAUGAUCAAAACCCAUGCCCUCGUGUGUGAAAUGCAACAUGUACAGAAAAUCCUGUGAGCCCUGGACCUGAGGGUGUCUAAUGUGAAUAUGAUGUCAAUGAGGAAACAAGUGAAGCAAAUCAAACUGAUAAUGAGAUAUGUAAUGGUGAUACGAAGGGAAUAUCAAACCCGAGAUGGGUCUGGUAAGAAAAGAAUGAGAAGUGAAGUGAGAAUGACGAAUCAGAAGCGAAAACGAGGACGAUGAUAAUGAAGCGAAUAACAUCAAAAGGAGUGAUGAUCAACUCAGAUCAGACAUGGAGUGAUGUCACAUCAACUACGAACAUAAUGAUGGAACGUACAAUAACGCAGAGCUCCUAAGAGAAAGUCACUCAUCUCGCUCACAAAAUAUGCAACAAAAUGAAUACAAAGCCUGAGGGAUCCAGGGAAGCUCACAUACGAACUCCCGUCAACAAACAUACUCGAUCAAGUGACCCUCGAAUAUCAAUACAUACACUCAGUGAUGGAUAACAAAACACACUUGAUUUUUAUUUCUUUUUCCAUUUUUUUUUUUUCAUUUUUUUCAUUCAUUUUUUUUUUUUUUUACAACAUAUAAAUGAACUGUACAUGAUCUGAAUGCAUACAAAGAAGACCCAAAGACGGGAUCAAAAAUGAAUAAACAUGCCCUCAAAUAUCAAUAUAUCACAAACUCAAUCUAAUGAGAUGAGGUGACCUUCUCAAACUGAGGAUCCCUGGAUCAGUGUCCGUGGGAUAGAUAGUGGAAAUGGCGUGACUACCCUCCAUGUGAUGAAAUGAGGAGGAUCACCCCUCGGGGUGAAAGAAGAUGACAUGAAACGAAUAGUAGAUAAGAUAAAGAAAAUAUGAUGAAUAACACGAACAGUGAGAUGAGAUGAAAUGCAAUGAUGCAGUGGUGAGCACAGAUAAUGAGAAGAACGUGCCCCUAGGUCCAAGGCUCAUGAAACUCUCAAACAAUGCAUGCAUACACUAAAGGGCCCCAAUCCCGGUGUGAAAAUGUGAGCAAGGCUAUAGAAAAUGAAGGCUAUGAUGCGCGUGUGAGGCUCAAAUGGGCUAGCAAUGGACUAUAUAUAUCAGAAACGGGAUAAAGGGAUAUAGCUAACCGAAAUGAUGGCCACCCAUCCUGCGACCAUGGACUCAAACGUAGUACCUCUUUAGCUGAUCCACAUUGGUCGGCUCUGAGAACUGGUUUCCAUCUAAAUCCAUCAGCCAUGCAGCGCCCUCUGGAGUCAACUUCCUGAUGAAAUAAGGUCCGCUCCAACUAGGUCUGAACUUCCCUCUAGGAUCUCUGAUCAAUCCUCUGAUGACUCUCAAAACUAAGUCACCUACAUGCAGUGGUCUAGGCUUGACCUGCUUUUUGAAAGCGCGGGCCAUCUUCCUCUGAUAUGCACGAACGUGGUCUGCUGCUCUCAAUCUCCUCUCAUCUAGGAGAUUGAGCUGAUCAAAUCGAGCCUGAGCCCAAUCCGUCUGGGGAAUCUGCUGCUCUAGUGCUACUCUCAAUGAUCCCAUCUCAAUCUCAACAGGUAGCACUGCCUCCAUGCCGUACACCAAUGAAUAGGGUGUGGCUCCUGUAAAGGUGCGAAAAGAAGUCCGAUAUGCCCACAAUGCGAAAGGGAGCUUCUCUGACCAAUCCCGAGAAGUCUCAACCAUCUUUCGCAAUAUCCUCUUAAUAUUCUUAUUCGCGGCCUCUACUGCCCCAUUCGUCUGCGGCCUGUACGCAGACGAUCUAUGAUGCCGGAUGCCGUAUCUCUGCACCAAGGUGUCAACCUCUGCUCUGAAAUGCACCCCUCUGUCUGAAAUAAGCUCGUGAGGGACUCCAUAGCGACAAAUGAUGUGCGAUCUAAUGAAACUGACAACUCCAGAUGACGUCAAUCUCGCAUACGAGGCGACCUCCACCCACUUGGUGAAGUAAUCAAUAGCAACAAGGAUAAACUCAUGACCACUGGAAGAUUUCGGUGAAAUCUUCUCGAUGAUAUCGAUACCCCAUACUGAAAACGGCCAUGGUGAAGUCAAUGCAUGCAACUCCGAGGGCGGCACGUGAAUGAGAUCUCCAUGUAUCUGACACUCGGGACAUCUCUGAACGAACUGGCAACAAUCUGUCUCCAUGGUCAACCAAAAGUAUCCUGUCCUCAUGAUCUUACGGGCCAACAUAUGCCCCCCAUAUGUGGUUCGCAGACUCCCGCAUGAACCUCUCGCAUAACUCUAUCGGCAGAAGCGCGAUCCAAACAUAAUAGCAGUAUCCCAUCAAAUGAUCGUCUAUAUAGCGUCUCGCCACAAAUCACGAAUCGGGUGGCCAACUGUCUCAAUGCCCUCCUAUCCUUGGCCGUGGCGGCCUCAGGAUAUAUGCCGAGUCUCAAAAAGUGAUAUAUGUCAUGAUACCAGGGCAAACCAUCGUCUAUCUCCAUAUCAUCAAUCAAACAACAAUACGCAGGAGCAGAUCUCGACUCAAUCAACAAAGGGCGAACAGUGGCAUCAGCGGGAAUGUCGAUCAUGGAAGCUAGAGUAGCUAAAGCAUCAGCAAACUGGUUUUGCGCUCUAGGCAGAUGUGUAUAUCUCAAAUCCUCAAAUCUCGCGACCAGUAGCUCCAAAUACGCGUGGUAAGGCCUAAGCUUCACAUCUCUAGUCUUCCACUCGCCUUGAAUCUGUCUCAAUACCAGAUUGGAGUCACUAAACACCUCCAUCUGUCUAAUCCCAAGCUCGAGGGCUGUCUCUAACCCCAAGAUACAUGUCUCAUACUCAACAAUGUUGUUCGUGGCUGGAUGUCGAUCCGAGAAUGCCAAACGAACAGAUCUGGGAAUGUGAUCACCAUGAGGGGAUAUCAACAAAACGCCUAUCCCGUAUCCAGAAUGGUUGGCUGCACCAUCAAAGUACAUGCGCCAACCCGACAGACUAGUCGCAGCUGCGACGUCCUCGUCUGGAAAAUCAUCGUCAAUAGCUCUGGCAUCAGAAACUGGUAAUGAGGCUAAGUGAUCUGCGACAAUGCUCCCUCUGAUGGACUUCUGAGUGACAUAAUGAAUGUCAAACUCAGUCAGAAGUACCAGCCAUCUCAUAAGGCGACCAACUAGAGCGGGCCUGUCAAACAAAUAUCUCAAAGGAUCAAGACGAGAUAUCAAAUGCACUGAAUACUCGGUCAUGUAAUGUCUCAAUCGGCGAGUGGCCCAAACCAAUGCCAAGCAGUAGCGCUCAAUCGUGACGUAUCUCGUCUCGUAAUCUAGCAUCCUCUUGCUCAGAUAAUAAAUGGCUCGAUCUUUGCCCGAAUCAUCGAGCUGAGCUAACAUGCAACCUAAAGCCACAUCCGAAACUGAUAGGUAUAGGAGUAGAGGAUGGUCUGGUGUAGGCGGAGCCAAAACUGGAGGCGACAACAAGUACUCUCGGAUCCUCUCAAAUGCGCGCUGACACUGAUCAUCCCAAACAGUAGGUUGACUCUUCCUCAAGAGUCGGAAAAUGGGCUCACAAAUGUCUGUCAAUCUGGCUAUGAAUCUACUGAUGUACUGAAGUCUGCCCAGGAAGCCUCUGACCUCUCUCUCUGUCCUCGGUGCAGGCAUGUCAAGGAUGGCUCUAAUCUUGUCCGGAUCUACCUCUAUGCCUCGCUCACUGACCAUGUACCCCAAGAGUUUCCCAGAAGUCACUCCAAAAGUGCACUUCUUGGGAUUCAGCCUCAAUCUAAAUUGUCUGAUCCUCUCAAAGAACCUCUCAAGAGCUGCCAAGUGAUCUGAUCUAUCUCGGGAUUUCACUAUCAUGUCGUCUACAUAAACCUCGACAUCCCGAUGCAUCAUGUCAUGGAAGAGUGUGGUCGCUGCUCUCUGAUAGGUGGCUCCUGCGUUCUUCAAUCCGAAUGGCAUGACUCUAUAGCAAUAAGUACCCCACUCGGUAAUGAAGGACGUCUUCUCCAUGUCCUCUGGAGCCAUCAAGAUCUGACUAUACCCGGAAAAUCCGUCCAUAAAGGACAACAUCGAGUGACCUGCUGUACUGUCAACUAACAUGUCGAUGUGUGGGAGAGGAAAAUCAUCUUUAGGACUGGCCUUGUUGAGAUCUCGGAAAUCAACACAGACUCUCACCUUGCCGUCUUUUUUGGGAACAGGGACGACAUUGGCCAGCCACUCUGGGUACUCGACUACUGAUAGAAAUCCUACACUGAGCUGCUUCUGAAUCUCCUUUUUCACCUGCAAGCUCCAACGAGGGUGCAAUCGUCUCAACCUCUGCUUAACCGGUCUGGCAUGGGGCAGAAGUGGCAAACGAUGCUGGACGAUGGAUGGAUCAAGGCCCGGCAUGUCCUCAUAGGACCAUGCGAAAACGUCCAAGUAGGAUCUGAGCAGCUGGAUGAGACUAUCUCUCUCAUCUGAGGAUAAAUCUGACCCGAUCCUCAACUCCCUAGGCUGAUCUGCGGUGCCGAAAUCAACAAUCUAUGUGUCUCCUACAGCAGGUGAAACCCUCUGAUCAACGGGAUCCGAAUCGGAAACAGAAGAUGAGUCAUCAUCUGAGUCGUGCUGUGCAAUCUCAUCAUCAAUAUCAAAAAUCUGUGAUGUGGGUGAAGAUGGUGCAGAUAAAUCAAUAUCACAAGAGACAGGCAGGUACUAAAAAAUGCUCAAAUCCAUAGAUGAAACAUCGGAAACAAUGUCAGAACGGGAGACAAACCCCGACUGAACGUCAAAUGAAAGAGGUGGGUCCACAAAGUCGGACGCUUCCUCAACAAUGCCAACAUGGCUAUCAAUCAAAUCAUAAAAAACUAUAGCAUCCUUAGUAAUCUCCAGAGCAGGGGCUGUCUGGAUCUCCUCAACGAUCUCGAUGAAAGACACCCCGAAAAGAUCGAAUGGUGAAGUGAGCCCAGGAUGAACUCUCUCCUCGAUCGGGCCCAGGCUCAGGGCGAGCAUCUCGUCGAUGUACUCGUCGUGUGGGACGGCUCCGUCCACUAUGUCUCCGACCCCAGCAAAGGUCUCAUGCUCAUCGGUCUCGUCCGGGAAGCAAAGCGUUAUAAGGCUCGUGCGAUCUGGAGACGAAGGAGCAAUCAACACAGAAGUCGAAGAGCCAGGAGCUCCAUCUCUCAAUCGUAACUGAUGGACAAGGCGCUGAAGCUCGACCUCCUGAGUGGUGCUAAGUCCUCCAAUGAUCACGUCCGCACGGGUCAAUGGCUCUGAUGCCCUCACAAAAUAAUCAGAUAAGCUCCUGGUGUAUGGGCGAAGAGGAUAGUAGAAAGGUGUGUGGGUCAGUCACUCUCUCCUUGCGCAAACGCGCCAUGUAGAGAUAAUCGGCCUCAAUGGGGAUGAACCCGAGUCCGAACGGUACGUCGUGAUCAGGGAUGGCUAUGAACUCGCUCGGUCCAUGCUGACAUCGACCCAACCCCAUGCCGGGUAGAUAGGACAUGCUUCGCAUAAUAUCGAGCACCACUGUGCUCCCAUGCCGGUCAAAGGACAUGGCCACAAAAUCCCGGCAGAAAUCCUCUAUCUCCACAGUCUGCACCUCAUCGAAGGUGAAUUCAGUCAGAAAAAGAUCGUCAUCAGUGUGACUAAUCUCGAGCACAGGCUCGGCAACAAUGAACAUGUCUCCCACAGACUGUACCACGACGACCUGACCAUCGUGAAUAAACUUCACCUUCUGAUGAAGGGAAGAAGGAAUGGCCCCGGCUCUAUGGAUCCAUGGUCGGCCCAGAAGCAGGUUAAAGGAUGUAGGAAUCCUCAAAACCUGGAAUACAGCGACAAAAGUGGCCGGACCGAUCAGCAACUCGAUCUCCAAUGUACCCAUGACCUCUCUACGGGUGCUAUCAUAAGCUCGGACGGUCUGAGUGGAGGGACCGAAAUCAGAAGGAGCGUAUCCAAGGGCGAUGGCAGUGGCAAGAGGACAUACGUUCAGGGCCGAGCCAUUGUCCAAAAGGACAGAUGGGACUCGGCGGCCUGAACAGCCAACAGAUAUGUAGAGCGGACGAGUGUGGUCCGAGCCCUCCGGUGGCAAGUCAUCAUCGGAAAAGACGAUACAAGUGGCUCUGCCAGCCGUCAUCAUAUGAAGGAGUCCCUCGGGAGUGGUCGUGGUAUCAACUCUGAUCUGGCUCAGAGCUCGAGUCAGUGCGUCCCGAUGGGUACUGGAAGACGCUAAAAGGCUCCAGAUAGAAAUACGAGCCUGAGUGCUCUGCAACUGCCUCAAAAUCUCGUCAUCCUCUGCUCUCACCUCCUCCUGGGAUGACGUACCCCCUAAGGGUCUAGCGGGAGCGGCUGGAGGUGGCUGUCUCACUACUCUCCCUCCCCGGAGGAUAUACUAAACGUCCGGAGUCUGAGGAUCAUCACUAUGUGGAGCCUGAACCUCCUCAACAUCUGGGAUCAGAAUGUACGGCGCCUGAACGCUAUAGCGUGUGAAUGUCAGAGGCUCGGAAGUGGCCGCCUGUACAGAUGCUGCCUCAGGAACUAAUCGGAAUGGAGCAGGCAUCUGUGGCUCUAGAGUCACCCCACUCGUCUCGUAAAUCACAGCUGGCAUGAUAGGCUCUGGGUCUGGAUCAUCCCAACUCAACAUAUGGACAUGAUCAUCAGUCUCAUCGAAGUCCAAGAAAUGAAUACCACAAGCUGGUGGAGGAACUGCAUGUGUGGUGUGGGUCGGCAACGGGUUUGUGGUCACACUCGGCUGACCCAAGUGUACCAAACCCUGGUCUAUCAGAUCCUGAAUAGCGUGCCUCAGAGCGGUGCAUCGAUCGGUCUCAUGUCUAGGCCCCUGAUGAUAAGCACAGUGUAAAUCCAUCCUGAACUGAGCUGGAAUAGGCUGAGGUAGUGGCCGAGGGGUGAGAGCAGUCAAUAAACCAGCCUCCGUAAGCUUCCGAAGAGCCUGGCUCAACGGCAUGCCUAUCUGCGAGAACUGCCUCUGCGUCCUCAAAGUAAACGGAGCAGAAGUCUGCUGGGCUCCAGGUCGGGGAUAAGGCGCCGCAGGUCUCGCGGUGAACUGAGCAGCGUAGCAUGGCUGCCCUGUGGCUGUGUAGGAGACCGCGGGUCUCUCAAUGCCCUGAGUGGCAUAAGAAGGUAAAACCAAUGUCUGUGGCAUGUGUGUCUGAUCGUAAGCCGGACGAGGUGCCCGUGGCCUGUACUGAUGAGAUGCAUAGGAAGAAUGAGGCUCGAAAAACUGUGGGAUCGGCUGAUGGCGUCUAAGAGGCCUCUGACUGGAUGAACUGAUAGCACCAACCUCUGUCGGUCUCGGUCCUACGAAUAGUUUCUUCCCCUUAACAUCACUAGGGGAAGAAUCUGCCCAUAAACCUCUCGUGAUGCCGUCCUCGACAUCAUACAAAGCCAUAACCAGAGACCCAAAAUCUGUGAACGGGACCCCGACCACAUGUCUGGCGAUCCCCGGCUGUAGGCUCCUCAAAACCAUCUGAAUCUAGUCUCUCUCUGAUGGUCUAUCCACUAUCUCAGCUAUCUUCCCGCGCCAGCGGGAAAUGAAAGAAGAAACGGACUCCUCUGUCCUCUGCCUUAGAGCCUCGAGCUCUCUCCUCGAUACAUCUACAACAGUGUUAAACGAAAACUGUCGUAGGAACUCCUGGGCCAAGUCAUCCCAUGUACGGCGUCUCGAGGACUCCAGAGACGCAAACCAGCGCUGAGCUGCCCCACUCAGAGAUAGGGGGAAAAGAGUGAUCAUUUGAGGCUCGUCCAGUCCAUGAGCCCUCAUCACGGUGCUAUAAAGUCUGAGGUGGAGGCGCGGACAACCAAUACCAGUGUACCUCUCAAUAUCUGGCAUCCUGAACUUAGUUGGCAAGCUGGCUACCGGCAUACCCCCAAAAUCAUCCCAAACAACUGAUCCAUCUGACACUCUCAUCUGCCUCAUACACUGCUCGAUGCGGUCCAUGCGGGCAUGCGUGUCAUCAGCGACAACGGCCUGGGCGACUACGGGUGGAGUGAUCUCAGAAUGCCCGUGUAAUACAUAUGGUGAUGCCUGAUGCACUGAAGGAACGAGUGGGGGUGGUGGAGGUGGGUGUGAGUCAUAUGGCGUCUCAUCCUGGACUGCUGGUGGUCUACCCUACUGACCACCGAUCUCCUGCCUGAGGCUAGCCAAAGCCUCCUGGAUAGAAGCCAUGGCAGCCGUGAACUGAUCGACCGUGACAACCUGCUGAUCCAUAUCUGGUGUAUCUGAAACCCGAACUAAUCUGCCCUCUACUCUGAUCCACGAAACUAUACCCAGACUGAGAGUAAAAAUCCUGAUCCUGAAAGUACUCCUCUUCUGCUCUGAUCCACAAAGGUAUAUCAAGACAAGGAACAAAUGUCCUAUCCUACAAAGCACGAAGAACGUAAUAAGGAUAUGGCCCGGGGAACGUAUAGAAGAAAAGAUAAUCUGAACAGGAACAAGCAAAGCAUCCAAGUGAAGAUGAGCGAUCCGACCGUACUCAAACUCGUCCUGAUCUCAGUGCACUCUCAACUGGAGACUAAACAGAGGGAAAAUCGGAUCCAAAACUGCGGCUACAGAGGCACGGAAAGCCCUCAGAUGCACCCACGUGUAGGGAGGGAAUCCUAAUCGAAGGAUCUACGGCUCAACCUACAAGGUCAAGGUGGCUCUAAAUGGAUAAGGGUGGACUUUAAAAUAUCCCUAGCAGAAGCGAUUAUACCCUCCGACGGUACGCAACCCUCUGCACGUCUCCGAAGAGACGGGGCGCUUCCAUGCAAGGUGGUCAUCACCUCCACACAUGCACUACCUCGCAUCCCAGGGGGUUUCCUAUGGUGAAACCUCUCAAACUCUCAACACUCAAUAGUCGACUAGAGUGCACAGUGAAUGGUGUGGGUGCAUCCGAAACCCUAAAAAGCUAAAGCAGGAUAUGAAACACACUGGCCACACAAAUAUCCAUGAAACCUAGCUUCGGGCUAUACAGGUCUUCAAUGAUCGGACUCCAAUCGACAUCAAAGUGUCGCUCUCCUCCAAAAUGCUCCCGUGCAUCGAUAUAGCCCAUCGCUAGACCCUACUCCUAAUCUCCGGCUCGGUCAAAGAGCAAGCACACAGAAGGUCUCACACUUGCAAUAGUGAGAACCGAAAUGAAAGGAAUGACCGAAACCAAGAGAGUUGGAGGUAGGGGGAUAGAAGUGAGACCCACAUAGACAGGCAACAUGCAAUCAUACAGAGGGAGGGCAGUCAUGCAUCAUACGGUCAAGCAGAGUAUAGGAUAUAUCACUCAUGUCCACACAAAAAAAAAAGCUACAACUAUCAGGAUGAAUAGUGAUAUGAACAUCAUGCUCAAAAGAUGAUCUAGAUAAUAUGCAGGUCAGAGAAAACAACACAGCAAGUCAAACGAUGUACAAUAGUGAGUCUAUGCAUGUGAAGUGAGCAGAAUAAUCAGGAAGAAACAGAAUCGCUUUACCAAGCAAAACAAGGUGAGCAACCUAUGAUAAUCGGCAUGUCAAUGUACCAAACUAAUAUAGCAAUGAAGUACAAAAAAAACGACAUCCGAAGCCCCAAAUCAAGAUGAUCAAUCAUAUCAAUGUCACAACAUAAUAUCCAAGCAUACAUAAAAAAAACUCUCAAUGUGCAAUCAAGAGACAGGUACUCGCUGAUCGACUCAUCAAAUGCCCUGUUUGCUUCAUCUUAAGUUCAAGCUUGACCCUCUAACUCAUCCCCAGCGGAGUCGCCAUUUUGUGGACCCCGCAUUUCGGCUCAAUGCGUUCCCCACUCAAUGGUGCAUGCAGUCUGUUGAGGCUUUGCAAUGAUGGAACCUGAGUGCAUUGUUGGGCAGUCAUCCAUCCUUAUGAAAAGUUCUUAGGAGACUCACCCAAUCCUUGAAGUUGGAUCUGUUCCAUCCCCAGAAAGAAGAAUAUCAACAGUGAAUUAUGGGCACUACGUCCCUUUGACUUGGACGUUGGCCGCCAAUGUUUGAUAUGGAGUCGCGUUUGACUCAAAUGUACACUGACGCUACUUUUGGGCAUUGCCAUCAUGCUAUCCGUGACAUUUUAACUCCUGUCCUUCUUGCAUUAUACGAAUCAAGGAGGAAGAGUAAAUCAAAGUAAAACUCAUCAUAUGGGGCAACGUGAUUUUUAUCCUUCCAGGCUGGCAGAGACUCAACAUGAUACAGGGUUCUAAUCAAAGUUUGCUCUCGUCCAAAUACUCAAUCCUGUAAACAUCCAUGGGAUCAGUAAUGGAGAUAAGAGAAGGUCAGGAAUGCAAAUGAAAGAGAAUCAUCAUUGAAGUAUUGGGUUGAAUAAUGGGGUUAUCAUGGGAUCAAGAGGCUUAUGGCUUGGUGACAAUAGUUGACAUGGACAAAUGAGGAGAUAUGAAAGGCCAGAUUUGAGAGAUGAAGUCCACGUUUCUAUCAAGGAUUAUUUUAAUUGAUUCCAUCAAGGGCUCUCACAUGUGAGAUAGAGAUGGCAAUAGUAACAAGCACAACGAUGUCAAUGGCAUGAUUUCUGAGGCUAGUAUCAUAGGCGGCAUCCACCAGGCCAUUUUGAUCCAUAAGAAAGGUAGCAAAGUGCAUCGGGGCUUCCUCUUCGUUUUGGGUGGAAUGGUGAUCUUUGUGUUCCUCAACGACAUCCAUGGAGUGGAGUAGAUUGUUUAUUUGACAGUAGCAAUUGCAAAUGGGUCAUUAAUGGACUUGGUUUUGAUUACCAGGGCUUGAGAGGUUUCUUACCGAAUGAUAUAUCCCAAUCGCGCCAUCUACAUGCAACACGUCAGAAUGAUUCUUCUGUGGAUGGGAGCUAUUCAUGUCCUCUGGUGUUUGAGAAACUGCCAGACGUAAACCAGGAAGGGUCCCAGUGGACAGAUUGUGAAAUUCGAGAGACCAUCAACGUGAUUUAUCAUGUAUAAACUGGAUUCUUACCUAAGUAUCCUUGUUUCCGAACAUCGUAAACCGCGGAAAUUAACUUUGUACUGGAUUCCCUAUACAUGUGGGGCAGCGGGCUCAUCAGUUUGCUCAGUAUGGCUCCUAUGUCAUGGUAGUUUGAUGGGAAGUAAUGACAUAAAAAAUUGGGUUCGUGAAGCUAAGGACUCAACCAUUACCUUCUGGAAUAAUCAUGUAGAGCAAUCGAUUCCGUCCAUUAGAGAUGAAUUCUUUCAGGCAAUCAGGAGCAACACCUAUGAUGCCAUCAGCUGUUCUAACAAGCUCUGCAGCACCACUGAUCCUUAUAGUGCAGUCCCUCCACCCUGAGCUUAGAGGGAAGUGUUUUUGCAUGGCCACCUUGGGCAUGCAGCUCUUGACCAUGUGCCAUUUCCUUCUAUUCUCUCAUCCCCUGUUUUCUUGAAAAUAAUCUUCUUAAAUCCCAUUUUCAAUAAAAUUUGGUUGCCAUUUUCCUUCCGGCAAGCCACUUGUGCAUUUUCUUUGUUUUUAAAAUGUUUUAAAAAUAAGUAAGAAUUAAAUUCCGUAAUUCCAAGUGAUGGAAUUUAUGGAAUUGAUUCAUGCAAAAAUGAAUUGGGUCUUGGUGGGGGCCCUACAUAUGAGAUUCCAUGAUUGAUUGAUUUAUUUGUCAUGCAUGAUUGAUUUACUCUAUUCCUUGAUAUGCGCUUAAUUAUAUAUGUUCAUUGUUCACUAACCAUGUUUCAUGAUAGCGCAUUCGUGAUUGCCGCCCAGGUACGCAUCUAUUCAUAUUUUGCUCAUUCUUUAUACAUGCUUUGUCUCUCAUAUGUGCAUGAUUGAUUCGAGUAUUCAUUGAUUUUCUCAUUGAUUGUCAUGUCAGCUUCAUCUCAUUAGUAGAGACCCGACUUUAGGGACUUAGAGGGGUGCUACGGUCCAUACCGUACCUUCCCAAUAAGUAACCUGACCCCUGAACCCGAUCCGAUUUUUCACAGACCACCUUUUCCAAAAUAAGGAGUCACACUUAGGGUUUUUCUUUCUUAUUUUGUUUACCCUUUAAAAAUAAAACAAAAAUAAGUGGCGACUCCAAGUCAUUUUCAAAUAAUCAAUAAAAAUCAUUUUUCAAAUAAAAAUCGAGCUCGUCAUCGAGUGGGAAACGCAUUGAGCCGAAAUGCGGGGUCCACAAAGUGAUCUUGAAAAUUAUAAGUUAAUUAUGUUUACUUGAAUAAGAGAUUUGAAUAAUCUUGUAAAAAGAUGAUGUUUGUCGUUUAAGUGGAAGGUUGAUUUAGAAAUUAUCAUACAGGGAAAUGGAAAAAAAUACUAUUAUUUUGGUACAAGACCAUAUUAUUCAGUGGUGUCUCUAGAAAGUUCCAUUAGAUGCUAUUAAACAAUUAAUUUGGUGUCUCACUUGCAUAAUUUUGAGUUAUUGGAUUUUGGGUUUUGCAGACUCUAAUCUCCGGAGGUAACGACACAACUGUUGUCUCUCUGACAUGGGCACUCUCUCUUGUACUAAACAACCAUGACACCUUAAAAAAAGCUCAACAAGAAUUAGACAUCCAAGUUGGGAAGGAAAGAUUAGUGAAUGAACAAGAUAUAGGUAAGUUGGUCUAUCUCCAAGCCAUUGUUAAAGAGACAUUACGGUUAUAUCCAUCAGGACCACUUGGAGGACUACGCCAAUUUACCGAGGAUUGCACCUUAGGUGGAUACCAUGUCUCUAAAGGCACCCGUUUAAUAAUGAACCUUUCGAAGAUCCAAAAGGAUCCAAGAAUUUGGUCAAAUCCAACAGAAUUCCAACCAGAGAGGUUUCUCACCACCCAUAAAGAUGUUGAUCCUUGGGGAAAACAUUUUGAAUUUAUACCAUUUGGAGCUAGUCGAAGAGUAUGUCCAGGAAUAACUUUUGGUCUUCAAAUAUUACAUUUAACAUUAGCUAGUUUCUUACAUGCGUUUGAAUUUUCAACUCCAUCAAAUGAAUAGGUCGAUAUGCGCGAGAGCCUUGGACUUACAAACAUGAAAUCUACCCCACUUGAAGUUCUCAUUUCUCCACGCUUAUCUUCUUGUAGUCUUUACAAUUAAAACAUUGAAACGAAUAGGUCAAGUCGGUCUUGCUAGUCUUGGUUUAAAGACAUAUGGAGUUAGGUUCAAUCAAUCUAUGACAAGAUUUGGGAUUGUAUUAAAAGUAGGUUGGACUAAGAAUGAUGUAUAAUAAACUAAAGUACUAUUUAUGUCAAUAAAGUAUAGCUUUAUAUAUUAUUUGGUUAUCCUUGCUCUCCGUCUAGGCUCUCAUGGGUGCAAGGCCUACCCAUGAGGCCCUUUUCUCCAAAUUUGAGUCAAGUGGCUAAGGGGCUUACAACUAGCUUCUUUGCCAUAGACAAAUUUUCUUUUGUUUAUAUGUUUUAAUUGAUGCAUAUUCACUUUCUUCUUUUCUUAAUUAAAUUGCAAUAAUUAAACAUACAAUUUAAAUAAAUUUUAAAUUUUAUUUUUAACUAAAAACAAAAGUAUACAGAUACAAAUAUAUACUGCUUAAGUAAUUAAUUUUUAAAAAUUAUCCUUUGAGAACAUCUCAGACAAACUGAGACAUGCUUCCAGAGAAAUCUAAAUGUAAUGUUUUUAAAAGCUACUUUGUAAUUUUAUUUUCGAGCAUGUUGCAUAAUAUAUACUUUCCUUGAAUUGAUUUUCCAAACUAUAUUUUUAUUAGCAAUAAGGGUUAUCUACGUUUUGGAAAUUAUAAGUUAAUUAUGUUCACUUGAAUAAGAGAUUUGAACAAUCUUGUAAAAAGAUGAUAUAUAUAUAUAUAUAUAUAUAUAUAUAUAUAUAUAUAUAUAUAUAUAUAUAUAUAUAUAUAUAUAUAUAUAUAUAUAUAUAUCGUAUGGCUGAUUUGGAAAUUAUCCAAAAUGGAAAAAAAUACUAUUAUUUUGGUACAAGACCAUAUUGUUCAAUAGUGUCUCUAGAGAGUUCCAUUAGAUGCUAUCAAACAAAUAAUUUGGUGUCUCACUUGCAUAAUUUUGAAUUGUUCGAUUUUGGGUUUUGCAGGCUCUAAUUGUCGGAGGUAACAAUACAACUGUUGUCUCUUUAACAUGGGCACUCUCUCUUUUACUAAACGUACAACCACGACAUCUUAAAAAAGGCUCAAGAAGAAUUAGAUAUCCAAGUUAGCAGGGAAAGAUUAAUGAAUGAACAAGAUAUAAGUAAGUUGGUCUAUUUUCAAGCCAUUGUUAAAGAGACAUUACGGUUAUAUCCACCAAGACUACUUGGUGGACUAUGCCAAUUUACUAAGGAUUGCACCUUGGGUGGAUACCAUGUCUCUAAAGGCACCCGUUUAAUAAUGAACCUUUCAAAGAUCUAAAAGGAUCCAAGAAUUUGGUCAGAUCCAAUAGAAUUCCAACCAGAGAGGUUUCUCAUCACCCAUAAGAAUGUUGAUGAUUGGGGAAAACAUUUUGAAUUUAUUUCAUUUGGAGCUGGUCGAAGAGCAUGUUUAGGAAUUGCUUUUGGUCUUCAAAUAUUAUAUUUAACAUUAGCUAGUUUCUUACAUGCAUUUGACUUUUCAACUCCAUCAAAUGAACAUGUUGACAUGCAAGAGGCCUUAGACUUACAAAUAUGAAAUCUACCUCACUUGAAGUUCUCAUUUCUCCGGACUUAUUUUCUUGUAGUCUUUACAACUAAAACAUUGAAAUGAAGAGGUCAAAGUCGACCUAGCUAGUCUUGGUUUAAAGACAUAUAGAGUUAGAUUCAAUCAAUCUAUGAUAAGAUUUGGGACUGUAUUAAACAUAGGUUGGACUAAAAAUGAUGUACAAUAAACUAAUUAAAGUAUUGUCCAUGCCAAUAAAGUAUAACAUUAUAUAUUAUUUGGUUAGCCUUAAGGAAUGUAGCAUCAUAAUUAUUUCUUUGUUUUGUCUAAUUUAUCACCAUUUUUUCCCCUUCUCUUCUUCCCUUCUCUUCAUUAGAACAAAUAAUAUAUAGUCUUUUUAUUUUUAAAAAUCAAAUUCGAUUCCCAGUUAUAUAAGAAUUUUACUUUUACUUUAUAAUAAACUUUACUUUAAUCUUAAUAACUUUGACCAUGAUCUCCAUCAUUGAUUAAAUAUAGGGAUAAUUUCAAUCAUUUUUUCUAAGAUUGGAGUUAAAUUUACCCAUCCAUUAUUAAUUUGAAAUUUUAUUAAAUAUUUUUUUUUUCCUUUUUUUUUACAUGUAUAUCUUUUAAUUUAAAAUAAUAGUUGUCCGAUAUAUUUAUAUGAAAUUAUUUUCGAAGAGGUGAAUGAAACUAAACUUUUUUUUAAAUAUAAAAUCAUAAAAAUUUAAUAUACGCCAGCACGAUCCGGUCUAAAUAUUAUAUAUAAUUUGUGUCAUUUCAAAAAAUCAUAGAAGAUCCUUUUGGCAAGGUGGCCCCUUUGAGUAGGAAUUCUCUAAUUGGUCACUACAUAUUACAUAAUUUCAAAGAUUAUGGAGGAUCAUUUACCAAUCAUUAUCAGAAGAAGUGCUGAUUCCUGUAUAAAACUAACCAAUACGAUAUUUAGCACAUGCAAACAGAUUUGGAAGGAUCUGAAAGUCAAGCCUACGGGCCAUCCCUUUACGGCUUGUUCGAAAAAGCACAAAUUGAUGGGGUGCCACUUGCCAGCAGUCUGUUUCAAUAUCUAAAUGUUACCCAGUGGGAUUGCUUGAUAUACUUUUUGUCUCCUAGCUACCAUCUAUUAUUAUGGAGCUCCAGAGCUGGUAAGAUAAGAAUACACCCAAAAGCUGCUGGUGCAUGGCCAAUAAUCGGUCACCUCCUCUUAGGGUCACAACUUCCUGGGAUUUUUUUUUAUAAAAUUACGGUAAAUUUAAAAUUAAUUUUUUAAAAUGCGGCAUAUUGAAAAUAUGCUUGAAUAAUAAUAAUAAAAUGACAAAUAAUAAAAAGGAAAGAAAGUUGUCUUGUGGCUAUAAGAAAGAAUAAUAUAAAAGAGAGAGAUGAGGAGAGGCGGAUAGAGAGAAGAGUAGGCCGAAAAAAAAAAAAAAAAAGAGGAGAACGGGGAGGUGCUGCAAAUCUUUGGGCGUUCGAUCGUAUGACGAGCAAAACGACUUAUGUUUUGCAUGAAAGUUAAGGAGAAAAUUUUCUUUGAGGCGAGGAACAUUCCUUCAAAGUUCGAUUUUAGUUUCAAUGAUUGGAUUUUUUUAUUUGUGGUAAGAUAGUUUAAUCCUACAACUUUUGUUUAAUAUUUUGUUCUUGAAAAAAUAUUAUGAAUUUUUUUAGUGGAAGAUAAAUAUGUGUUAUUUGUGUUUUCUUUAUGUUAUUUGAAGUAUGAUUAUUCUUAAGGUUAUUAUUAUUAUUAUUGUUUUAUGAUUUACAUAUUAUUAUGAUUUUAUUUUUAAAAUUUUUAUGUUUGCAAUGAUUUAAUUGAAGAAAAACUGUUGUGUUGAUUGUUGAAAAUUAUUUAGUAUGUUGGGAAUAAAUAAAAUUUAUAUGAUUAGGGUUGAGACUAUGUUUUGAUGAUAUGUAAAUUAUUGUGAAUAUAUAUAUAUUUUAUAUUUGUAGUGAUUUAAUUGAAGAAAAAUUGUUGUGUUGUAAUUGGAAUUAUUGAUCAUGUUUGGAGUAAAUAAAAAUUAUGUCCUAGAAAAUUAUGCAUAAUAACAUGCAAGUUUAUUAUAUUUCAUAUGCAUCAUGGUUAUGUGAAAAAAAAAAUUGAUGAAAGAUUUUAUAAAAUGAAAAAGGAAAAAGAAAAUAAUGAUGAAAAGUAAAAACCUGUGAAAGAUAAAUCAAGAAGGAAAUGAGAUUUCUAGUGUAAAAAAUACAAAAAUUUAUCCCGUGAGUGUAUUUGAUAUAGAUGCAUAUCAUUAAGUGAAAACCCAAAAACAAUAGUUGAAUGUAAGCAUUUGCACCAUGUUUUCAUUUGGAAGAAGGACAUGUAUUAAAUACUUGAAUGACAUCAAUGGUAUGUUUAAAUAUAUUAUUAGAGAUUGAAAUAAUUUAUUUAUUUUGUAAGUUUAGAAUUAUUGGAUAAACCGCUAUUGACGAUUGGACCGAUGAAUGGGGCGGUUUUUCAUGAACUGCAUGGCUAAAUUCCAGCUCCAGUCUUCCUCCCAUUUUUCCUUUCAUCCAAAUAGUCCAACCUCCCCCUCCUCUUUUUCAUAGGGUCCAAGUGAAAGCCCAAUAAGCCCAGCCUUACAUUUUAAUGGCUUUUUGGCAAAACCUAAACCCAUUUAAACCCAUGGGUGGUACCUUUUUGGCAUGUACUAAUUUGAGUUAUAUGAAUUUUUGUAAUUUAAAUUAUAAUUUGUUAUUUUGUAAAAUAUUUUUUACUUAGAUUUAUGUAGAUAUUUGGGUUAAUUUGGGAUUAUAUAUUGAUCUAUUCAACUGAAAUCAUUGACCGUCAAAUUGGAUAGGAAUAACAUUUAAGGUCAACCCUUUGACCUGAUAUCACUAAUCGGAUUCUGAGUUGCCUUGAAUAGGGUGUGACUAUAAUGGAUUUUCUUCUCCAAUGCCUAAACCCUGUCAUGGUUGGAGCGUUUGCAAUACUCGUCCUCUCAUACCACCUGUUAUUAUGGAGGACUGGAGCUGGUAAGAGCAGAAUGGCACCUGAAGCUUCUGGUGCAUGGCCCAUAAUAGGUCACCUGCACCUGUUAGGUGGAUCUAAGAAUUUGCCUCACUUACUUUUUGGAACCAUGGCCGACAAGUAUGGACCAGUAUUCAGCAUCCGGCUGGGAUUAAAAAGAGCUGUGGUGGUGAAUAGUUGGGAGAUGGCCAAGGAAUGCUUCACCACCCAUGACCUGGCUCUGGCCUCCCGUCCUGAGGUUGAGGCCGCCAAAUAUUUGGGAUAUAACUAUGCCAUGUUUGCUUUCUCUCCUCACGGUGCAUACUGGCGUGAAGUGCGUAAGAUAGCUACUCUAGAGCUACUCUCGAAUCGCCGGCUAGAAUUGCUGAAGAAUGUCCGAAUCUCAGAGGUGGAGACAUGCAUGAAGGAACUAUACAAGCUUUGGGCAGAGAAGAAAAACGAAGCGGGCGUUGUUUUGGUGGACAUGAAGGAAUGGUUUGGGCACUUGACUCUGAACGUGAUUCUUAUGAUGGUUGCUGGAAAACGAUAUUUCGGUUAUACAGGCGAAAGUAAAGAGAAAGAGGCCCAGCAGUGCCGGAAAGCGAUUAGGGAAUUCUUUCGUUUGUGGGGACUCUUUGUGGUGUCAGAUGCCAUUCCUUUUUUUGGAUGGCUUGACGUGGGUGGACAUCUGAAAGCCAUGAAGAAGACUGCAAAAGAACUGGACGGUAUUGCUCAGGAAUGGUUAGAGGAACACCGGCAGCGAAAAGAUUCUGGUGAAGCUGAUGGUAACCAGGACUUCAUGGACGUGACGCUGUCCAUUCUGGGUGGUAGAGACAUUACUGAUUAUGAUGCUGAUACCAUCAACAAAGCUACAGCCCUGGUAUGCACAUUAUUCCUUUAGCAUCUUUAUAUGGUAGUAAAAAAUGAGACAUAAUUUCAUGCUUUAUCAUCUUUAGUCCAGACUCAAGAGUACUUGGGCCUGGGUUGGAAGAACUUAUUUUUGCUUUGUUUCAAGUCGAAACUAAUCAAAAGCAGCGAUUUUUAAAAGGUAAUUAUAAUAAUGGUAUUAUAAAAGUUCAAACAUAAAAUAACUUUUUGCAUAAAUCAAAAUAGAAUUUUUAUAUAUACAUAUAAAAUGUUUUUCUGAUCUUCAUAUUAAUUUUUUUAAGUCAUAACUUUUUUGAACAAAAUUAGUCAAACCAUAGAACUCUUGAACUUACAAAAAAGGGCUUUCGAUUUCUUAGAAGUAGAUACAUGUAGAUUAUGAAAGUAUGUUCCUUAGUCCGCAUGGUUUGAGGCCUCUUUGAGUGGGCUUCUAGAGUCGGUUAGACAAUUGGGCCUUUCAAAGGAUUUCCUAAAUUUACAUUUUUUUUAGCCCAACUUGAAUUUUUAUAAAAUGCUAUAUUUAUACGCGAGUUUCAUAUUCAAGCUAAACAUACCCAUUUUGAUUGGAAAAAAAAGGAAAGAAAAUGGGGCCUUUUUUCCACCCUUAAUCCUAUCACUACUUUUAAUUUUAUUUUAUUAGUUAAUGGUUUGUAUUUCACAGAUUCUGAUUGGAGGAGGCACUGACACUACAUCUGCUACUUUAACAUGGGUCAUCUCACUUUUAUUAAACAAUCCAGAUGUAUUAAGAAAAGCCCAAGAAGAAUUGGAUGCUCAUGUUGGUAAAGAAAGACUAGUAAAUGAAAUGGAUAUAAGCAAGUUGGUCUACCUUCAAGCAAUUGUUAAAGAGACAUUGAGGAUAAAUCCAACAGCUCCACUUUCAGGACCGCGUCAAUUCAUCCAAGAUUCUAUUUUAGGGGGUUACCAUAUCUCAAAAGGCACUCGUCUUAUAUUGAACCUUACCAAGAUCCAAAGAGACCCAAGAGUAUGGUUGAAUCCAAUGGAGUUCCAACCAGAUAGAUUCCUCACCACCCAUAAAGAUGUUGAUGUUAGAGGUAAACAAUUUGAGUUGACACCAUUUGGAGGUGGAAGAAGAAUUUGCCCUGG
rnacentral:lncRNA from 1 species